rnacentral:lncRNA from 1 species
GAGUUCAGGGUGGGUUGUUUAAAAAAAAAAAGCUUGUGUACUCUAUUAUUGCUAAUAUUAUUAUUUUCAUUUGCAUUAUUCUUAUUAACUAUUAUUAUUAUAAUAGUUAAUAGUAUUUAUUUUCAUUGUUAUUAUUUAUAUUUUUAGCGUCAGUUUACUAUUAUGUAUACUUUCAUUUUUAUUAUGAAUAUUAUUAUAAUUAAAACUAUUGCUAAAAUUAUUAUUAUUAUUAUUAUUUAAUAUUUAAAUGGGAAAAAAGAUUUUUUUUUUCUUGAAGGGAUAAAAAUGUUAAUUUAUUUCCUAUUCUCAUUCCCGCAUUUUCACAUCUAACUAUUAUUAGCAAAUUUGUGGGCUCCACCAAAAAUCCAUUUUCAUUUCCUUAUAUUUUUAUAAGUAAAUACUCUCAAUGAUUCUCAUUUCUUAUUCUGAUUUUCCAAUUCAAGAAAUAAACAAACCAUUACUCCAAUGGCUUUAAGCUAAGGUGAUUUUAUUUCACAUUUGUCCAAUAAAAAAAUUUAAUAUAAUUACCAUUUUUGAUAAAAUUAUUAUUUAAAAACCAUAUAUAGCAUGUACUAUUAUUGGGGGGGGGGGGGGGGGGAAAGCGAAACCCCGCUCUUGUUUGACUAAACUAAUUGGAACAUGAUGUUUUAAAGUGGAGAAAUUAUAAAUUCCCCUUACUGAAAUCAAUAUAUAUCAUUUACCUCUUUACUGUUUUUAUAACAACCAAUAACCCCUAUAACAACAUAAUUUUACAAUAGUACUCUUAUUUUUAAAUACAUUUUUAUUCAUAUUUGUCAUAAAUUAAAUAAAUCAUAUAAAUGGAAAUAAAAAUAAAAAUUUAUGCACCAAAAAUAAGAAAUAUAUGUUUCAAUGUGAAUAAGAAAUUAAUAAUAAGAUAUUUUUCUUAUACUUUUUGUUAUUUUACAAACAUUUUCUUAUAAUAAAUAUAUAAAAUAAUGAAAAGUACAAGAAAAAUAUCUUAUUAUUAUUAUUUUUUACAUCAAAAUGUAUAUUUAUUAUUUUUAUUACUUAAAUUUUUAUUUUUUAUUUAUAUAAUUUAUUUAAUUUAUAAUAAAUAUGAAUAAAAGGGUUAAUUUAUGUUGGUUAGGGGUUAUUGGUUAUUAUAAAAACUGUAGGGGUAAGUGAUAUGUAUUGAUUUCAGUAUGGGAAAAAUUGACAAUCUCCUUAAACAUAUCAUUAGCGUAGUGAUUUAGUGGACAAUGAUGGUUAUUUUAUAGUGAAAGAUAGUGUUAUGUGAUAUUGUUUCGAUCAUUUUAACAUAUAGUGUCACAUAAUUCUACCAUGUGUUUACGUGCUAACUAUAUGGUGGAUAUUACUGUUCACUAGUUGUUCUACUCAUAUGGUUAUAAAUAUAUUUUUAGAGUUUCUCAAUUUGUUAUACAAUCUUGAAUGAAUUGGCAGGUCAACUUGACAUAAUUGUUCGAUUAACUAAACUUGUCAUAAACAAGUUGGUUCAUAAUUAAUUUUUUUCGCAAAUCUGAACUUUUAUAGUUUUUUGGUCUACAUAAAUUGGUUAACAAAUAUAAGGAAAACGCUUAAACUAAGAGGUUGUUUGAUAAAUGUCUGAAGUCUGAAAUUUUAUUAAUUUCAAUCAUUUUUUAAAAUUUGUUUGUUUGUUUGUUUUUUGUAAUUUAUGUCUAAUUUUCAGACAUUUACAUCUAAAUAGAAAAAGUAAACUUUUGUGACUUUUAUCUGAAUGGAAAAAAGGUCUGAAUGAUAAGUAAAUAUUAUAUGCCAAAAAUAUCUCUGUAAAAUAACUUAUUUCCUAAACUAUAAAAUCUAAUCCUUUUUUUGUUUUAAUUUAUCAGGACACAAAUGUCAAAUAACCAAGUUUAAGAUAUUUUUUUAUUGUAAAAAUAAACAAGAUGCCACUUAUAUUCAGAUAUUUAAAAAAAAAAAACAAACAUGUCAUUUAGAUUUUCGUAAUCAGACCCAUUCAGACUUUAGAAAAAUUCAGAUCCAUUUAGAUUUCAGACAAAAAAACAAAUGCUACCUAAGAGAGGAUUCUAAUUCAUGUAAAUACAAUUUUUUUAUUUGAUAAUAACAUUUAUAUUACACGCGAGGUUACAUAUUAGAUUAUAAUUUUUAAUUACAGGCCAUAUAAUUUACUACUAUGCCAAAUAUCAGAAUCAUAUGCCAGAUUUUUUAGGGUUUAGAUUUUUUACUAUAUGUUAGAUUAUAUGACAAAUUCUUCGGGAUUUAAACUUUUACUAUAUGUCAGAUUAUAAAACGGACUCUUAGGAUUUAGAUCUUUUACUCUAUUUAGAUUAUUUCACGGAUCCUUCGGAAUUCAGAUUCUUUUACUCUAUGUUAGGUUAUAUAACGGAUUCUUUAGAAUUUAACCUUUUUUUUCCUUUUCAUAUUUAAUACCCUCUAAACCACUACUUUUCUUCUUAUAAAUAAUUCUAGAGGCUCUCUUGAUCAUUCACAUUUUACACAAGAACUCAUUUUCCAAUUUGUAAAACUUCAUAAAUAUUCCUCUUUAGAUAAUAUUUCAUAAAAAUCAUGGUUGAAGUUGUUGAACGAGAAGGAGAAGAUGAAGAAGAAGAAGAAGAAACAAAAGUUAUAAAAAAAUUGAGUUCGAUAAUAUCGAAUUAGCGAUUUACCAGAAAUAGGAAGGUAAGAUAUAAGGAUUUUCAAAUUUCAUAAUGCAAACUUUUUGGGCAUGAUAUACGUGAAGAUGUUGCAUCACGAGUCCUUCUUUACUUCAGAUUUUCGCUGAUUUUAAUAUCUAAAUGGGAAAUAAUCUAUAAACCACCAGGGAUGAAGGUAUGAUUAAAAAAAAAAAGCUCAGAUUUUGUUUUAUACUUUAAGUAUUGCCCUAUAACUCUCAAUGAUCUGCUCUCUUAACAUAAAAAGAAAACUUUAUAAUGUCUUUUGAUAUUUGACAUAAACAAUAGUAAAAUGUGUUUUAAUUUCUUGCUUCAUUACGCACAGUACAUGCCAUGAACAUGAAGUCAUGCCUGUCGCCAUUUGUCUAUUUUCAUUAUACUUUGAUGCAACAGGGAGUUUAUUAAUAGAAUUACAAGAAAAUUUACAUAAUUAUACAUUUUGUAAACUCCAUCUCACUGCAGCAAAUUGGAGGAUUGAACGUAACCUACGCUCAAAUGGGACAACUUAUGUUACGGUAAGUUGAUUUACUUUAUGUUUCGAUCCCAUUGAUGAAUUUAUUCCUUGUUAUUAAUUGAUGAAUUUAUUCCUUGUUAUUAAGUUAAUUAUUGGUGAAGCUUAUUGUGAGAUUAAAGAUUUGAUUUCAAAUAAGAGAUUUUGUUAAAUGGAAGUAGCAUGUUUGAGAAUAUUUGUUGUCAGAAUCAAUUGUUUGAUGCAAUGAACUAACAGCUCGAUGAAACAUUUCAGUGAGCUCCUCUACACGAAGCCCCCGUCAGCAGGAGUCCUUUGUAUAUCAGCAGCAUAUGAUUGGGCAUGAAGACAGGUGAAGCUGUCCUAUAUGUGCAAAGGACAUUUGAUAACAGCCUUUAGAGCAAAUUGAAUAUUGCCAUUAGAUCCAUAUAUCUUAUAGCUGUGUAGUACUUUGUAUAUGUUUUAAUGAAAUAUUAUGCUGUGCCGUUUUGCUAUCCUUUGAUAUUGGGUGUAAAUCAGUCGAUUUUAUUUACUAUAUGGAAAGCUAUGAUCUCUAGUCAAUUUCAUACAAACUUAUUAAUUUAACAAACUUGUGUUGUUACAAUUUUACUUCACAGUCCUCUCUCUUUCCUCCAUUCUCCAUAAAACCCUCAUAGAGAUUCAACUUCUCUUCAUCUUUUUGUAUUUCUCUUAAUAAAAAUAAAAAUAGAAAAUCAAAGACUAUUAUAUGAUCAACAUGGCUCUCAAAAAUGUGCUUCUUCCUUCGGUUUUGGCAUGCCUCAUGUCAUCAUCAUAUCCAUAUGCAACCGCAUCCAGGGAGCUUCCCCUCAAGCACAACGAGGCUUGAUGCCAUCAACAAAAAUGGCCUAUUUGAAGGCUGGAUCUCAGUUUUGCGGUUAAUUCUUUCUCGAAAUACAUUGUUCAUUUUUUUUGUCGCUGGCAAGACUGAUCGUGCCCCUGAAUGUCGCAUGCCGUACCAUUUGCACCAUUAUGCAUGAAUGUUGGCCUUCCAUGCCCACUUCACUGGGCCUCUCAUCCGACAAAGCCAAAUUAAUACUAAAAAGCUGCUGCCAUGCAUCAACUAAUCCUCCAGCUGCCUCUCCAGUUUCAAGUUAAAGGUUUCUUGUUUCGUGUUGUUUGGUUUCUGUUUUGUCUUCUGAGAUUCUCGUCUGUCUACAAAAGUCUUGGAAUUUCUCUCAUGUUUUGCCAACUCUAUCAAUAAUGACCCUUAUUUGAAAUAAAAGUUAAUUCAUUGGUUAGUUGCACAAAGAUUGCUGAUUAUUUUAACAUAAAACUAGAUUUUCUUAUAUUUUAAUAUAACGUGUGCAUUUAUGUGUGUGUGUAUAUAUAAGUAUCUUAGCUGCAGAUGUAUGCACAUAUUUCUUUUACAAUCUAGUAGAACAUAGCUGUAAGUACCAUAAAGUUUGGUCACUUACACCAAGCCAUGUGUCAAUAAAUACACUAUAGAUUUUGAGGCUCUGGAUGUGCCCAGUACAAAUAGAUAAAGAAGAGAAAAUAUUACUGCCAAAUGCCAAUAUAUUAUUGAGGCAGCUAAAUGGUAAGCGGAUUCGCCGCAGUGGAAGACUUGGGUAGCUUGGCGCCGAUAAAGAAGAAGAAAGCUUCAAGAGUUUGUGAAUGCAGAAGAGAAUAGGUUACAAGGUUAAUUGGUUGCAGACUUACGGGUGGUGGGGUUUCGUCAAGGCCAAGUUUAGGUGGUACAAUCUAUUAUUAUUACCUAUCACGAUUUGCAGCUCAUGCACUUCUCAGGUGAUCAUAAUUCACAAGGAAAAGUGCUGGGAAUUUCCUACUUCUCAUGCUAGGGAAGCCUGAUUUUAGGCCUUCCAUGUACAGAAGAAUUUCUCCUAUUCUAUAUAUGCAUAUUGAAAAGGAUUACUUGCAAGGAAGGCUUCUAGGGAAAGCCUAAUAUGUUCUUCAAAAGAUGACUGCAAUGAAGUUGUCACAUGUGAGUGUCUCAUUAGUAUGGAUAUUGUGACAGUGUUUCAAGGGCCAGAGAAAUAUUUAAUGAGCUGUCUAAAUCAGGGGACAUGAAAGUUUCAACCCCUGAAUGCGAUGCUUGAGGCUUACUACAUCAACGGUUUGCCAAUGGAAGCAGAUUUGGAGACUUGCAGUUCUUCUCUGGCUAUUUCACAAUCUGCAAGUGCCAAAACUGAUUCAAGCAGGUCACUGAGUACUGCAAAGACUGAGAUUGAAGAAAUAAAAAGACUCAACUUUACAUUCUUCUGAUUCCUUCCAAUCAAGCCUUAGCUAAAUUGAAAACAGAGUCCGUAUGGCAUGGGAAUGGUUGACAGGCUGGCUCCUGAAUAUUUUGCUGUUGAGCUGAUUUGUAGUUAAUAUCAUUAUCAAACAAUGUCAUUUCUAAUUCCACUCCAUCAUACGAGAAAUUGAACCUUCUAUGAAUUAUGAGAAUACAACCUCAAUUAAAUUAAUACUCUAUAAAUUAGUAUUUUAAUUGAAUAAUAAAUUUUGCUAGUCCCUAACUUAGGGUUAACUUACUAAAUUAUACUUCGAUUAAUCAAUAAAUUUUUCUUGAUCCCAAAGCUAUUAUGGUUCUAGUUAUUUCUUAUUUUCAAGUCUUUGGUCUCAAUAGUCAAUACUCACAUUCUAACAAACGAAGUGGCAAAACAGCUCCGUUUCUUCUACUAGAUUCUGAAUAAUCACAGACUCACAGUUUGUUGCUUUUUAUGAUGUCCAUGAGAAUUCAAUUUUGAUGUCAGGUUACGGCAUGAAACUGACUUAAUAAAUCACUUAAUUUUAAUAAAAUGUAACCACUCAAUUCCCAUAUGUAACAUUAAUGGAGGUAAUUGUAACUGCUAAUAAUGUCACGAGUCAUUAACAGCUGACAGAAGAAAAGUUCACUUAUCUUAAUUUGAAAGUUUUCUUGCACAAGAAACGAAUUUCUAAAUUUCAAUAACAAUACAUGAUUCUUCCUUGUGCAAUUUAUAAAUGAACUGUAUUUACCCACAUGCACACGUAGUGACGUAGUGUAAUUUAAUUUGAUUGAUUAUGCAAAUUUUGGGGAUUUAAGCCAAUAGUCUUUUCCGAUUGAUAAUGUAAUAACUUUUUGGGGGGAUACUUUAGGGGCUCUUUACAAGCCUUUGGUUCUCCUGCUAUUUCUUUCAUUUGAAUGACAAGCACAUUUCCAACUCUGAAACCAAUUUUACUAUCAUAAAGUUAUUCUGAAACAUAAAAAUGAACCCUAUUUGGAUUUAAUUAAUUAUUGAGGGUACAAAAUUUGCAACCAUCCGUCAAUUGCCAUGUUAUAAUACAUAUUCAGAAAAGUUUAUAAAUAGAGAGAUUGGAAAACGUUAUAUAUAUUAUCAGUCUGUUUUUCAACGUGCGUUGUCAAAAUAGACUUAUUAGUCUAUAUCGUGUAAUUCAGUCUCUUGAUUUUGCAUUACUACAACUCCAUUCUGAUUUUUAGUGUGAGCCAUAUUGUAUUCUAUAUGAGCAGAAUUUAACACGACACGAAACCAAUUUAAACUAGAUAAUCAUCUCCACACAAGAAACCGUAGAUCAAGAGGCAAGACUUCCAUAAAAAAACACCAAAAAUAAAGCAAAGCUAGAACCAAAAAACCUUUUAAUUAUUUAAAAUUGCAUUAACUAAAUUAACACCAUGGAAAUAGAAGUGCCAUAGAUGCACCUUGUCUAAGUCAAAACCUUGGAAACCUGAGGCUGAUAUAUAACCGUGGGGCCACCUGGAGAAGGAGCAGAAGAUGCAUCACAGUAGCCUCUCAGUAUGUUCCCUUCUUCGGCAGUGAAUCCAAGGGAGGUGAGCAUGGCAGGCCAGCAAUUACGGGUGAUGAUAUCAAUAGCGCGGCAACAGUCAGGGCCAAUAUCAGCCUGGCCAUUAAGGAAGAAUAUAAUAAUCUCAUUUGAGCAGGAUUUCAGCUCCAUUAACGCGUUCCAGCACUCCGUUAGACCUCCGCUAGCUUCAAGUCUUGUUGCAAGAUUGUAGCCUGGUUUCAUAUUGUUGUUGAGGUGAUCAUUCCUGCUGGUUGCAUCUGCAAUAUUUGCCAUGAUCAGACAAGUGAGGGCCAAAAUGAAAAACACAUGCUUUAGAGCCAUUGCCAUUUUUUUUUCUUUUGUGUUGUGUUUAUGUUCAUGUGGGAUAUCAUAUUUUUUGUUGCUAUUUAUAAGUUAAGGUGAGGAAGAGGAGAAGACUGAUUAAAAAUAUUGAUAAAUUAUUGUGUAAUUUAUGAUCAAGAAUAAUUUUUAUUAGAGAAGAUAGUGAGUUUUUUUAUGAAUGGUUACAAAUUGAUUGUGUAAUAAUAGUCAAAUUAAUUAUGAGAUCUUAAGAUAAGAUGAAAAGUCAAAUCUGAAAUCUCUAUACAACUUCAAUACAUUGAUGCUAUUUAUAUACUAAUUAUUGGGAGAUUUAGCUGUUCGGUUACCCUAGAGCUGUUGAAAUCAGCUCAUUUCAGAUCAUAAUUCUACAAUAAGUACAUUUCAAUGUGACUAAGAAGCUGUAGCAUCGUCAGUUUUGCUCAAUGACUAAAGAUAUAUAGAUGCUGAAUUUAGAGCGCAAAUGGUUUCUAUCUCAGGUGCUAUAUAGUAGGAAGUCCCAUUGAGUAACUUGACUUGCAAGCAUGACAAAAUGCUAGACAGAGACUUACUUAUAAAGAUAUAUAUAUAUAUAUUUUAAUGCUUAAACAAGGCGGUCAGAGUCAAUUUAUGAUGAUGAGUAGAAGAAUUUAAAUGCAAGCUACUCUGAAUUCAGAUUGAUGAACUGUUAGAUAUUGAGUUUCAUUUACAAAGUUGGCUGACUAUAGAAUAACAUUGCUCCAACAUACAAGACAUUUAUCAAUUUUUAACUUUUUAAUAGAAUUUCUCUAAAGUAAUAAUAAUAAUAAUAACUCAAGGUGCUUUUUGUGUAUUAGAGUUGGUUGAAUUUCCUUCUGGAAAGUUGUAAUUGAUGAAUUGAUUCUAUCUAUGAUCUGCAUCAGUACAAAAUCCCAUCAUUUUCUCCUGAAAAAAAUUUGUUUAGGCAAUUCAACCACGUGAUCAUAACCCUCAUUAAUCAUAUGAACCUUUACUUCAAAGUCAUACCUCCGUUUUGAUAAUUAAUGUAGCGUAUGCAAUUGCACCCGACUAUCAUUUUUUUUAAUUAAUCAAGUUAUUAUUAUUAUUUUUUAUUCCCAUGCGAAGGAUUUCAACCAAGAGAUAUUAUCAACUCUCUUAAAACAAAAAUAACACAUUGCCCACUUUAACUUAAUUUGGAAGAAGAUUAAAAGAAAAACUUCAAUUUAAUUAAAAAAACUUUAGUUCUUUUUUUUUUUUUUUUUGGAGGAAAAAAUCUUCGGUCAAUUUGAUACGACAACAAAUAAUUAAGACGCUCCUUCGAUUUGAAGCUUAGGCAUUUCUUGACUAUAACUGGCUUCUGUGGUUUCCUUAUGAGCUGUAAACAUGACUCUUCAAUUUUUUUUUUUUUUUUUUUUUAAGUUAUAAUCUCAUUACAACUGUAAACACUUAAUAUUUAUUUAUUUUUUAGUAUGAGGUUUUUUUUUUUUUUUUCACUCCAAAUUCUAUUCUAAACAUCCUUUUACUUUGUACACUCUUUCAAUAAAUUUUGAAAUUUUUUCUCUACAUACUCUUUCAAAUACCAAAACAUUCCUCAAAAGUUAAUAAUAAAUUUUUUUCUUGUACGUUUUGUUAUUUUUUAAAAAAUUUCUUAUAAUAAAUAUAUUUUAAAUAUUCAAAAUAAAUUAUUAAGUAAAUAACUCAUUUAUCCCUCUUUUCUUUUAAAUUUUUGGACUUUUGGUAUCAUGAGAGUUUUUGGAUAUUAUGAAAAUAGUAAGGAGUAAGCAAUGUACAUUGAUUUCAAUUAAGUAAAAACUGUUAAUCUCCCUUAACAAAAAUCAGUUCUCCAAAAAAUAAAAAUUAAAUAAUCUUUCUUUAAACGAAAAAAAAAUGAAAUAAAGUCAUAUUCAUUCUAUAGUUACGUAUCUUCACUGGAGUCCAAUCUAUAUUGUUAAUUGAAGUGUUCAAUCAAUAGUAAGAAGUUACUAAUUUCUAUUUCUCUUGGAAUUGAUUUUUUUAUUUUUUCUUUCUUUUUCUUUUUCAAUAUUGCUAUUAGUUUUUUCUCCAUGAGUAAAUUUUUGAAUUUUUGUAGUUGGCAACUCUAUUUGUUCUACGGUUGGCAAAAUCUGAAUCCGGAUCCGGAUUUAUAUUUCUAUAUCCGGAUCUACAUUUGGAUCUACAAAAAAAAGAUGCAGAUCCGGAUGCGGGUAAUAUCCACAACGGAUGUGGACGUUUAUUCCGGAUAUCAAGAUCCGCAAAAAUUAAAAUUUAAUAACUUAAUAUAUAAUGUAAAAAUUCAAUAAUUUGCCUAAUAAUAUCAAAUAAAAUCCAAUCAUAAUUUAACAAUUAAUAAUUCAACAUGAAUAACAUCCAAUAAUCUCAUAAAUCUACAAAUAAAAUUUAAUUUUUAUUUAAUUUUUAAUAUAUAUUUUUAAUUUAAAAUAAAAUUCAAUAAUUUACCUAAUAAUAUAAAAUAAAAUUCAAUCAUAAUCCAAGAAUUAAUAAUUCAACAUGAAUAAUAUACAACAACAUCAUAAAUCUACAAAUAAAAUUUAUUUUUAAUUUUUUUAUCUAAUUUUUAAUAUAUAUUUUUAAUUAAAAAUAAAAUUCAAUAAUUUACCUAAUAAUAUCAAAUAAAAUUCAAUCAUAAUCCAACAAUUAAUAAUUCAACAUGAAUAAUGUACAACAACAUCAUAAACCACAAAUAAAAUUUAUUUUUUAAUUUUUAAUAUAUAUUUUAAUAUAAUUUUUAAUUUAAAAUAAAAUUUAUUCGGAUCGGAUAUUCAGUUUUCAGGAUGCACUUGCCUCCGGAUUCGAAUCCGUGCGGAUCUCAAAUUGUCAUAUUCGGAUCCAGGCUGGAUCCGAAUUUAAUUGCCAUCCCUAAUUUGUUCUAAAGUAUUUUUUUUUGUUUUCGAUGAUGAAAUAGAUUUAAUGUUGAGGAAAUUUUAGGUUUAUCAUAGGAUAAUUGGAUUCAAUAGGAGUAUUCUAUUAACUUAAAUUAAAUUAUCUUUAUUAAUAAAUUAUAAGAGGAAUAUUUAUUAUAAAGUAUUUUUAUCAAAAUUGAAGUGUUCAGAGUCAAUUUAGAGUACAAAUAACCUACCCCUAUUUUUCUCACAUUGGUCUUUUAUAAGUUUUUAAUACAUCUUAUUGUUAAAGGUGUUAAAACAUUGGAUUAAAAAAAAAACACACACACACACACACACACGCCAAACAAAAGAAAAAUGUGACUAUUCUAAGUAAAAAUUUGGUAGGGUCAUGCCUAGUGCUUCGCCACUUCAUCGAUCUCCUACAAAUUAAACAAUAAGCCGUAUCAUUGUAAAUCCCUUCAUCUUCUCGUCAAACAUUUCUUCUUAGAAAAUUAAUUAAAUCACAAAUGAUGUGAUAAUAAGUCUAAUCACAUUUUGCCCACAGGACCAUGAUUGAGUGGCUGUUAAAUAAUUUUAUUUGGCUGUUCACAGCCCAUCGGAAGGAGAUUAUCUACAGCUUUUAAGCCUAUUUGCAUGGGCUCAUGCACAGAUUUACGUUCAGUAAUCCAUGGGGCUUUCACUUUGACUGGUCUAGAGCUUAAAUCCUAAGGAGUAAUAGGUUGUAUUAAAAAAGAAAAAGGAAGUAAUAGGUUAAAAAAAUUAUUUCAACUUUGCCAAAAUCAAAAGAUAAUAAAAAAAAAACUCUAAUCACGUCUUAAUUAAUUAAAUGUUUCCCUCCCUCGGCUUAUCGCAUGAGCAGGCAACAUGCAUGCUAAAAAGCUUACUGUGAAUUUGUAAUUUAUCUUCUACAUUUCCGGCGGUCUAAUUUAAUUAAAUGCAAGGCUCCAGUUAAUUAAUUUCCAGCUAUGUGGUAGCUGUUUUACAAUCUUCUAGUCUUUGGAUAUGAUGAUUGAUGGGUCUCUGUAUGUGCCAUAACUUAAAGGCACCAAAUUACACCAAGUGUUCAAAUAAAAAAGAAAGAAAGAAACUAUCUUGGAAAAUCAAAUAAGUAAAUAAAUUAUAUCCAAUUUAUUCCGGAGAAAGUAACACUAAAAUAAAAUUUCCCUGGAACUUACAAUAAUAGCUAAGAGCAAAAACUCAUUUUAAUUUCGGGAUUCCGGGGUUUGAAAGAACCACACCUAAGAUCAUAAGAGUAAGAAAGCACAUGAGCACAGAAUAAAUGACGUAGGUCCGGGAUAAACAUAUUUAUUUCCCUACGAACAAAUUCACGUCCACGUGUGCAAUAAUAGUGGGUGGCACAGGUCAUCAAGGAGAGAGAUCAAGGCAAAACCCUAGACCCAUGUCAUCCAUCAACUAUUAAUAGGGACCAUCUCACCAAAAAAAUCCUAAUCUUAUUUAUUAUUCUCACUUCCAUUAAAUCUAAAAAUCAAACACUGACUUGAGCGUCGAAGUGCCUUUUCCAGGUACCCACCACGCCGGAUUCGAGUUCAACAAGUGUCGCAAGUUCUCCACAAAUCAAAAGUACGUGUGAAGGUAAAUUUCUACUGCCUUCAUUGGCGCCGUCUGUGGGGAUCGAACCCAUGACCACGUGCGUACUUUAGACUUUAAUAGCCUGGAAGCUUGUACUUUAUUUAAAUCUAUAGUCGGAACAAUUGUACUUCCCUCGAAAGCUCCUAUAGCAGUAGGAACUACUUCCUCCACAACCACGCCCUGCUUUCCGCACUCAGCAUUCCCUGAAGGAGAAGUUUCGCUGGAGAAAGUAGCAACACAAUUAAAACAAAACAUGAAGUCAGGUAAGAAUAAAUGGAAAAAUCAAUAACAAAAGGAAAAAUCCAACACGUACCAUCGUUCCUCCGUUUUUGAUUUUUUCCUACACGAGCAUUGUUAUCCUCUCUGUCAUUGGAAAAAGCUUCCAUACUCAAGCAGCUCUUAGAUAAAAUUUCCUUGCCACCACUUCUAUGGUCCUCUUUCAUCACUACUCCUUUGGUGGAUCAAAAAAGAUAUUCAUCAUGAUUUUCUGAAAACCAAAAAAGUAUUAAGAAAAUAACAUAUAUAGAUGUGUGUGUGUGUGUGUGUGUGUGUGUGUGUGUGUGUGUGUGUGUGUGUGUCUACAUAAAAUAACAACAUAAGCAAGAGCAAAAGAACUUAUAUACUAUCAGAUUCCAACUCAUCAGAAUAAGUUGGAAGAAGAACUUUGCUUAGCCCCUUCUUUUGCACCCCUUUUGAAGGAUCAGAAUAUUUCUCCUUUCGUAGACCAACAUUUCCAAGUUUCUCGCUAUGAAUUUUUUAUGUAGGAUUAAUCAUUGUCUUCCUACACCCAAAUGAAGCCCCUCGGAUGGGAACAUCACAUUUCUUCAUAGAUCGCUUCCUAGUAACCUCACUAGCUUCACUACUUUGUCUCUCAAUAGGAAUCUUCUCCCUAAGCUUUGCUUUCUUUUUAUUAACCUUCCUUGGAAUAUACAAUUCCUUAGACCCAUAGGGAGGAGAACUUGGGCUCGAUAUAGGCGCCUUGGCCCCUAAGUCAAUAGGAAUCUCAUCCGGAAGAGGAAUGUUAGGAUUCUCAUCCUCGCCAGCCACAUAUAAGUCAAGUAUUUUCCUCGCAUCCUCAUUUAUUUCAUCAUAACCGGAAAGGCGGGCAAGCCCAAAGGGGAAAACAAUGUAACCUCCUCCCAAACACAAGCUAUCAAUAUGACGAACAUAGUUAAAUCGAUCAACGCUUCUCAAAUAAUGACGCGAAAUCAAUUCUGUAACACACAGAAAAUCUUUUCCCCAAAAAUUCCUCUCCAGGUAUGCCACUCGAGCACCCAAUAAAGGAGGAUCAACAAUAGGCCCAGCUAAAAAAAAAAAAAUUAAGUAACAUAAAAAAACAAAGCAAUAGGGAUCCACAUAUAGCACGCCCAAAAGGAAUAAAAACUUACGGAGUUUUUUUCCAAAAAGCGUAACUGAGAACAUAGGAUUCCAUAUGCUCCUUCCUACACCAAUAGCAAGUAACUAUUAUAGGACGGUUGAUUGACCACUCCCUAAACCGGUCCUUUUUCAUCAAAGAAAGAAUUUUGUAAAAAACGCCCUUAUCCUCAAACCUCAUGGUAGUGAACCAUGAAUCCCUUUCGUCCUUAGGACCGCUAUAAAAUUUAAGUCUAUAACAUAUUAAGAAAUCAUAAAAGGAGAGGAGAUGAAACCCCUUAAGAGCCAAAUUGGUGGUGGCAAAAGCUUGUAAUAAUAUUAGAACACAGGGGUUAAUCAUCAAGGGCGAAACUCCACAAUGUGCAAAAAAUUCCAUAACUAGGGGAGGAAUAGGGAAUGAUAAUACCUCAAUUUGUUGGCGGUAAAGUAAAAUCGACUCCCUGUCAAUUCCGGGGUCCAUAAUAUUAACAUUAUCCGCAAGCUCUCUCAACUGGACACCAGGGCCAAGAUCCACAUAUUUCACAAAUCGGCCAAAUGAGAGCCUCUUUACUCUAUGGGCAGCCAUGUUCCUGGGAGAGUUUGGACGAGUUUGCAGGUUGGCGGGUAGUUUUGCCUUCCUUAUAAAUAUAGCCAAAAUAUUAUUUUCCGAGCAGGUAAGCUUUUCAUUUUGUAAAUUAAUUCAGUGAUCAAGAGUGUGGCUAAUAGAAAUUUAAUUUUACAUUAUACCAUUUCUUUGACACUGUAAUUGGAAUCAGGAUCAAAGAUGAAUUUGGGAACCAUUGUUUAUGAGCCACCUAAAAAUGGUCCUACAUUGUGGGGAAUUGGAGUCCCUCAUCGCUUAGCUGCCGAAUUCUUUGUACCAGAUCCCUACGCAAAAUUCAAGAACCCAUUGUUCACAAGAUCCUCGGACAAGUUAGUAUCUAAUUCCACAUUUAAACUCAUUUUGAAAAUUCGCUUUGGCUACUGUUGAGAAUGUCAAGUAAAACGGCAUUGAAGGAGUUUUUCAAAGACAUAAUCCGCACUUGUCAAAGGGAUAAUCUGCACUUGUCAAAGACGAUCCGCGCCGAACGGAUUGACACAUUUCCUUCCGUAUUCACAUAUGUAAUCUUUGAAAAAUAUAGCCUCUACAUCUAUAAAUAACUCUCAGUGUAUAAUGUUUUAUUUAAGAAAUGAAAACAAGUUUCUUCAUGGUAUCAGAGCCAUGAAUACGCUCAAGUUUCUUCAAGUUUCGCUGCUCUAUUUGUAACAAAAAUAGAGGCAACCAAAUUCUUCCCACAACUAUUUUUCCUACCAUUUUCUUCCUUAAAAUCAUUUCUACCAUUACAGAAAUCCAUUCCAAUAAAAAAAAAAGCCACCCAUACGUAAAAAACUUGAGUUUACAAAUUUAUCAACAAUCCCAUAAAUUUUCCAAGAGAGUGUUCCUAAAAAAACCAAGAAUACCAUCAAAUUUCUCAGUUUCCAGUAAGCAAACUGUAAAAAUUUCGCAUUUAAACACAUCUACACGCGCUCCCACGCACCACCCGAAACCACGGCCAGCCAACCACGCGCCUCUGUCAUAUUUCACGCGCUUCAGAGGUUGAAGAAGACUACAACCGACAUGUCAUUUUUCAUCUCUAGAGUGAAGCAGUCUUCAAACGACGUGUCAUUUUUCAUUACAUUAAAAUCGACAUGUCGUUUUUGAAUUAGAGACCAAACGACAUGUCGUUUCUAUUCCAUCAUAAUCAACAUAUUGUUUCUUCAAGCAGAGGCCAAACGACUUGUCGUUUUUUUAUCUAAAAAGGUUAUUUUUUUCUUAUUUCAAUCUAGACGCCCAAAAAAAAAAAAAAAAAAAGAAAGAAAACGAAGAAAGAAAAAGAAGAAAAAAAUGGAGAAAACUCCAACUGAAUCUGCUCCUGUUGUCAUUCAAUCUGUUCAAUCUGAUAGAGUAUUUAAUGCUGGAAUUAUCCUCACUGAGACCAACUAUGAUAUUUGGUCUCAAAUAAUGGAGAUGUAUCUCGCAGAAAGAGAAAAACUCUCAUAUAUUCAUAGCAACACAAAGCCAUCUGAGGAAUCUUCAAAGGAAUAUGAGAAAUGGUAUAGUGAGAACCAAAAAGUAAAAAGAUGGUUACUUAUAUCCAUGUCUCCGGAGAUCAUAAAGCGAUAUUUACGAAUUCCUACAGCCUACGAAAUCUGGGAUGCAUUAUCAAAAGCCUUUUAUGAUGGAAGCGAUGAAUUACAAGUUUUCACUCUAAACCAGAAGGCAUUCUCUACCAAGCAAAAUGGACAACCAUUCUUUAAAUUCUAUGGAGAAUUGAUUGAAUAUUUCAAGAACUUGAUCACCGAGAUAAAGUGGUCAUGAAUGAUCUAGAAGAUGUUGUAAUAUACAGAAAGUCUGUUGAAAGAUUGAGAGUGCACAUUUUUCUUGCUGGGCUAGAUGAAGAAUUUCACCAAGUUUGUGGAGAAAUUCUACGAAAAGAUAUUAUCCCAGACUUAGAAGAAUGUUAUUAUCUGAUUCGAAGAGAAGAUGUACGGCAAAGAAAACUAAACAAGAAGGUCGACUCAGAAACGUCUGCUAUGAUAACACGACAGCAGCCUCAAAGGAAACUUGUUGGCAAGUCAUCACUCCAUUGCACUCACUGUAGGAAGAAGGGUCAUACGAAAGAACAGUGUUUUGAAAUCAUUGGAUAUCCUGACUGGUGGGAUACUCGAAGGAAGAACAUCAAGCAGAGAUCAAAAACUGCAGUAGCUGAAUCCACAUCCACUACAGAUCUCAGAAAAGAAUCUUCAAUGCAAAUCGCAACCUCUGUCAGUCCAGGUAAGGCCCUUAAAACUCUUACACCUGUUAUUAAUAGUACAUGGAUAAUUGAUUCUGGGGCAACUGAUCAUAUGACUUUUGAUUCUCGACAAGUUUCUCAAUUAAAACCAUCUUCACAAAAACAUAUUUCCACUGCAAAUGGAACCACAACCUCAGUUAUUGGGGAAGGAUCUUUACGACUCACAGAUGAAUUAAAUUUAGACUCUGUAUUAAUUGUUCCAUCUUUAGAUUAUAAUCUUUUAUCUGUUUCUCAAUUAACCACUUACUUAUCAUGUGUUGUAAUUUUUUGGCCUGAUCAUUGUGUGUUUAAGGACAUCCAAACGAAGCAAACGAUUGGUUAUGGUAUUAGACGAGGCAACUUGUACUACUUGGAGAUGACAUCAACAAACACUGGAAAGUUAAGCCCUGCACUAGUCGCAGAUAGUUCCAUAAAAAAAGAGAAAUCAGCAAUUUGGUUAUGGCAUAGACGUUUAGGGCAUGUGUCAUUUGGUUACUUAAAAAAAUUAUUUCCUAGUUUGUUUCUGAAAUUUGAUGUUUGUAACUUUAAAUGUGAUGUUUGUGAACUUUCAAAAAGCCAUCGAACUACUUUUCCAUUGUCCUUAAAUAAGAAUCCAGUUCCUUUCAUGGUAGUAUACUCUGAUGUAUGGGGGUCAUCUAAAGUUUCUACAAUUGGAGGUGCUCGUUGAUUUGUUACAUUUAUUGAUGAUUGUAGCAGAAUGACAUGGAUUUUUCUGAUAAAAUCGAAAGACAAAGUAAACUCUUUAUUUCAAAGAUUUCAUAAGAUGGUGACGACUCAAUUUCAGACACAAAUUCGAGUUUUACAUACUGAUAAUGGAGGCGAGUAUAUGAGUACAUCAAUUCAACAGUUUCUGAAAUCACAAGGAACUAUCCAUCAAACCACUUGUGUGGGGACACCCCAACAAAAUGGCGUUGCUGAACGAAAAAACAGACAUUUACUAGAAGUUGUUCGAGCAUCACUAAUCCAGGCCCACAUGCCAUUAUCUUAUUGGGGAGAAGCACUGGCAUCCGCAGCAUACUUGAUCAAUCGAACACCUUCAAGCUCCCUUGGAUUUCAGACUCAUUUUCAGGUUCUGAAUGAUGCAAUUAUGUCACCAAAUGUGCCGAAUUUACCCCCACAUGUGUUUGGCUGCGUUGCCUUCGUUCAUUUGCAGCAACAAGACAAAUUAUCUCCUCGAGCACUACGUUGUGUGUUUGUAGGGUAUGCCUUACAUCAAAAGGGAUACAAUAUCAUCCACCAUUAAGAAAAAUAUACAUCACCAUGGAUGUCGUCUUUCAUGAAGAUAUCAUGUACUACUUGUCAGAGCCUGAAUUUCAGGAGGAGUAUAAUGAAGAGAAAAUUCAUACUCUUACAUAUCUUCCACCUGAAGAAGGUCAAUCUUCCAUUGAGGUAGUAAACCUUCAAGAUACUGGAAAAGAAAAUGGUGAUGAUUCUCAGGCUGAGAUAAGUGAAGACACAUUUAGGGAGCAAAAUAACUCAGAUACAACUGCAAUCGAGAAUGAGUCACAUGAAGAAAUACUUAACUAAUCGUCUGCAGAGGAUGUUCCUACCACAAGUCUAAUCAGAAGAAUUCUUCCCCAGCGUCAAAAUAGAGGUAUCCAUAAACCCACAUAUGAGUCUGACCUCUCUAGUAGAGUCAAAUACCCUAUGAGUUAUUUUGUGUCUAACCAUCGCUUGUCAGAAUUAAAUCAUUCAUUUGUAAAUCAAUUAUCUACUGUAUCUAUUCCUAACAGCAUGCAGAAAUCCUUAAAAGACCCAAAGUGAAAAGCGGCUAUGAAUGACGAAAUGAAAUCUCUUCAGAAAAAUCAAACAUGAGAACUAGUUGAUCUUCCACCAAGAAAGAAACUAGUGGGUUGCCGAUGGAUCUACAUUAUAAAGUACAAAGCAGAUGGCUCUAUUGAACGAUACAAAGCAAGGUUCGUAGCUAAGGGUUACACCCAAACCUACGGGAUAGAUUAUACCGAUAUGUUUGCACCGGUAGCAAAAAUUAAUACUAUUCGUAUCUUAUUAUCAAUAGCAGUCAACUUGGAUUGGCAAGUGCAACAGUUCGAUGUAAAAAAUGCUUUCCUCCAUGGAGACCUGUCUGAAGAAAUUUAUAUGGAUCUGCUACUGGGAUGCAGUGGACCAGAACGACUCAAUCAGAAAGUAUGCAAAUUAAAGAAAUCAUUGUACGAGUUGAAGCAAUCCCCAAAAGCAUGGUUCGGGAAAUUCACAAAGGCUAUGGUUCUUUUUUGGUAUAACCAAAGCAAUUUAAAUCAUACCUUGUUCAUUAAAAAAUGAUAAGGUAAAAUCACUACCCUUAUUAUCUAUGUGGAUGAUAUGGUAGUUACAGGCAACGACGAGGAAGAAAUAAAGGCUCUUCAGAAGUACUUGUCGAGAGAGUUUGGGAUGAAGGAUUUAAGAGUCUUAAAAUACUUUCUUGAAAUUGAGGUUUCUCGAUCUAAGGGAGGAAUCUUUCUGUCUAAAAGAAAAUAUGUCUUAGAUCUAUUGCACGAAAUGGGAACGACAGCUUGUCAGCCUAUUGACACCCCAAUAGAAGAAGGACUGAAGUUUUGUAUUACCUCAAACCAAGUUCCAAUAGACAAAGGAAUAUAUCAAAGGUUGAUUGGAAGAUUGAUGUAUUUGUCUCACACAAGGCCAGAUCUUGCUUAUGCAUUGAGUGUUGUAAGUCAGUUUAUGCAUAAUCCCGGAGAACAACACAUUAAAGCAGUAAUGUGGAUCCUGAGGUACCUGAAGUCAAAUCCAGGAAAAUGAAUCCUAUUUUCCAAAAAUGAAGAUUAUAGCAACAUAGAAGUUUAUACUGAUGCAGAUUGGGUCGGGUCAGUUAAUGACAGACGCUCUACUUCAGGAUACUUUACCUUUGUGGGAGGCAACCUUGUCAUAUGGAGAAGUAAGAAACAACAUGUCGUUGCCCGUUCGAGCGCUGAAGCAGAAUAUCGAGGCAUGACCCUUGGGCUAUGUGAAGGGCUAUGGAUAAGUUUUAUCUUAAACGAUUUGGGCUAUCCAUCACAACAACCAAUACAACUAUACUGUGACAACAAAGCUGCACGAGAUAUUGCUCAUAACCCAGUUCAACACGAUCGAACAAAACAUGUCGAGGUAGAUAGAUUUUUCAUCAAGGAGAAGUUAGAUGAAAAAAUCUUAGAACUGCCGAAAAUUCGAUCAAGAGAUCAACUUGCAAUAUUUUAACGAAGGCUAUUUCAAGCAGAGCAUUUACAAAAUUCCUAGACAAGCUAGGUAUGCAAGACAUCUAUGCACCAGCUUGAGGGGGAGUGUUGAGAAUGUCAAGUAAAACGGCAUUGAAGGAGUUUUUCAAAGACAUAAUCUGCACUUGUCAAAAGGAUAAUCUGCACUUGUCAAAGACGAUCCGCGCCGAACGGAUUGACACAUAUGUAAUCUUUGAAAAAUGUAGCCUCUGCAUCUAUAAAUAACUCUCAGUGUAUAAUGUUUUAUUUAAGAAAUGAAAACAAGUUUCUUCAGCUACUACACCAUUAAUUAGUUUCAUUUAUUAUAGCUUAAAUAAUUAAUUUUGAAUAUGCAUGAUUAAUUUACAAACAGGUAUAGACAAGACGGAUUAAGGGAACGAUAUGCAGACUUUUAUUCCAACGAUGAUCUCAAAUACACCAUUGGUGUGAGCAAUUACACUCGGGACUGGUUCUUUGCUCAUGUUACUAUGUACUUGUAUAAUUAUUUAAUCGAUAAUGAUCGAUCUCUUCUUGUUUCUGAAUUAAUCCUGGAUACCAAAAUGGUUAGAUCGGCCUAGCUCUUAAUAAUAAAUUUUGCAUUGCGGGACAGUAGAAAAUAACACAUUUCAACCAAUCACACGGCAGAUGAUAUUUCAAUUGGAGAAUGAGGACAACAAAGGAAAUUAUACACUCCAAUUAGCCUUGUCAGCUGCUACAUACUCUAAUUUGACUGUACAAAUUAAAUAAUAAUUAGCAACUCCAGCUAGCAUUAAUUCAAAACCAAUAAUCCUCAUCAUCACUGAUUCGUUUGCUGAUUUGUUUUCUUACAAUAAUGGUGUAAAAUAAUAGGUUCAGCUCAAUCCUCAAAGAAAAAGGCGACCUCUAUUCUCGACGGGGACAAUAGGAAGGGACAAUGCGAUUGCUAGACAUGGAUUCAUGGGUUGUACAGAUUUUACAGCAUCAAUAUGCCAAGCAAUUUGCUUCACAGAGGAAAAAAAUAACAUACAUCUUAGUCAGUCAAGAAGCAACGGACCCUUCCAAGGAGUCAUGUAUGAUUAUAUUCGCUUUGAAGCACCUCUAAGUUAAGGACAGAGUAAAUUCAAUUAUAUAUGUUUUAGAGGUGGCAAUUAAGAGAUAUAAAGAAAUUGACGUUCUUUGUUUUUUAACUUGAAGUAUAAAUGGCGAAAGAAAUUGAACGUAUAUACAUAAUUAAAUAGAGUAAUUGUUUGAUUUAAUUAUUUGGGAUGAAGUGUAGAGCUCAGCAUGAUGACUUAUUUCGUAAUUGGUCUGGUCUAAUCAACAGCGUAUGAUCUUAAUCAUUUUUGUUAAUAAUUUUUUUAUCAAACACACUGUGUAUGCAUGCGAUCAAUAACACUCUUGGUCAAUUAAUUAAUUCUAUUUACUAAUUAGCUAGGCAAUCUGAAGUCAUCAACAUCUCCUAAUUCCACGCAAUUUUAAUUUCUAAACUAGGAUUUCAUUUUUGAAUCCUAAAAUUUAAUAUAACACCAAUUACGUUCUGCAAAUGCACAAAUAUUAGUCUCGUCUGAUAUUCAUAUCACUCAAUGACAACGGGCAACAUGCCAUGUGGGGCUAACAGGGGCUUUCAAGAAUUUUUAAACUAAUUUGAUAUUUUUUCCAUUUUUUUAACUUGAUUUACCAUAAAACCUCUACUAAAUUUUAAAAAGAUAAAAAAAAAUGAGAUUCUAAAGUUUAAAGACACAUGUUUUGAUUUUGAUUUUCUUUUUUUUAUAAUCUAAAAUCUUUUUUCUCUUUCUGCAGCAACUGCAGUUGCAUUAUUGUCACUCAUGACACCAUUGUUGUUUGUUUCAUUUUUUUAGUUGAAAUUUUUAAGGUACAUAAAAUAAAUUGGAUAAGUAAAAAACAUUUCACUUUCAAAAAUUGCAUAUUGUAUAACACAAUUUGUGUCAAAUGCCUCAAAAGUUGAUAGAAUAAAUUAGUUUAAUUGAACGUAGUAAAUGAAUUGAUGUCCUAAUGGUUGAAUGAUAGUAUAAUUAUAUGUGUAGAGAAUAAUAAAUUUUAUAUUGUUGAUAAUGAACUUUUCCUUUAACAUUUUCAAAGUAUGGAAACACGUCGACACCAGUUAUUGAUAUAUUGAAUGAAAUAUUUUAAUAAAUAUGGAUUUUGGUACUAUUCGAAUUUAAAAAAAAAUAUAUUACCAUUUAAACUAAGCUCCUUUGACAUUGAACUUCUGGCACCACCAUAGGGGAUGAUGACAAAGGUCGGUAGCAAAGUUGAUGACAAAGUGGGCAGUUGGAUUCUUUGGUCGGAUCAUGCUACUCAUGUCACAAUUGUGCCAACAAUUUUGAGAAUUACACCCCCAAAAUGAUAGGGAUAAGCAACAGUGUUGAUAAUAUGAUAGAAUGAAGACAUAUGAAGGCUACUCUAAACGCUAUCGUUGUGUUGAAUAAUCUCAUUUCCGAUGUUUGUGUUCCGAGCAUUUCAUACGAACCAAAAUGCUGAUUUGGCAGUUUGAUGAUCAGCAGAAUAACAACAAUAAUGGCAAUUUCUGGGUACUAAAGCAAUCCAUAUUAGUAUGGAUAUUUUUUUGGACUAAUCAUCACGCUGUUAAUAAUAAUUCCAUUAUGCCCCUAUAUAUGACAAAUGUUAUCCGAGUGAUUCUACAUUGCAACAUCGAAGCCUUGACAGUUGGGACUAUCAGGCCCCGGACAAGAACAAUUCUGACACUUGUGGAAUCAUUGGAGUGAACAAAAAUGUAUUGGAUUAUUGAAAUUACUAAUUUGGUCAUCAUAACAACAAUAGCAAUAGUAACCAUAAGGUGAUUUGGCAGUUUGAUGAGCAUCAUCACAAUGAUAGCAAUAGCAGCAAUAAGGCUGGUAUUAGUUUAUGGAUAUUAUUGAACCAUUGAAUUUGUAUGGAUGAAUGGAGAUAGGGAACCACUACAUGAUAUUUAGGUGGAACUGGUUUAAUAAGAUCGGUUGAGAGGGAUAUUGUUUGGGCGCACUAUUUUUUUCUUAUUAUUAUCAGUAAUGUCAAAUCAUUCCAUUUUCUUUUACUGGGGAUAAUAUUCUACUUAAAAUCCUACUUGAAGGAGGUAACAAUCCGAUUCAUAUCCUCGAUGCCCCCAACAAGAAACGGGUCUCCAGCGUCUUCAACAUUACGUUUUGUGAACGAUGUCCUCUCAUUCAAAUUGAGUGCAAGUUUAUCCGGUCUCUAAAGUAGAAGCCAAAAUGUAGGCUGCAGUUCGUAACACUGUUCAAACAGAGAACGCCUACAAAAACACAUAGAGACCAAGCCGAGCACGAGACAUGGCGACUACCAAUCUUCUAACAUCACGAAUAUGACCCACAAAGCGAGUACGGACGAGAGACAGCAAAACAAAGUCAUUUUACUGACCUUGAAACUUAUCAACCGUUGUGAUCUGACUUGGCAAGCCAAUAAAGGAAUAUGGAGCACAUCACUUGUUAACAACAUCACAAAUCAAAUGCAUCUGGCCAUUGUAAGUUGUCAAGAUGGAUAUGUUCCUUGCAGGAUAACCAAGUAGUCUCAUGUACAUAUAGACACUGACAAUAUAUUCAGCCUCUUCCUGAUUUUGAUAGAACCAAGGAGAAGGGACACUCUCGCUUCUGCCGUUGUAAUCAGGAACAUCCACCAACUGAUAAUCAUAGGAGAAUUCAGCAUUUGCCCCACGGAAAAUUAUUGCCUUGUUAAUGUAAGAAAGGUCCCCCAAAUCUCUGUACCUCUAAUUGUAAAGUCUGGCUAUGCUCGGUCGGGCUCUGCCCUGGGCAUUCAGCUCUAUAUAGGGAAUUCCCAAACGAACAAACCUUGUAAAUAAGCUCUGAUCCAUGCAACUGUACUUCUGGAAAGCCAUAUUCUUGACAAUAGGUGGCAACUGAUGAUGAUCAUUGUUGAGUGUUAGAAAGUGUAUAUUUAUAAAGGAGAAAAUCAUCAUUUUACAUUUCAAGUCUUACUAACACAUUUACUUUUAUGUAUUUACGUCUCUUGUGAUUUAAUUAUGUGUGUUUUAUUUUAAUUAAGUAUUUUAUGUAUUUUAGGGGCAUCAUGGUCAUUUCACAAUGAAUGAGAGAUCGGACAGCAAAACAGACAUCACUUUUGAACUCAGGACAGUUAAAAACUUUAAGAAGAGCUUAAAAUGAAAAAUGACAUUGUUCACAUGUACGGUACUGUCCAUGUUACUGUUCACAUGUACGGAACGAUGAUGUGACAUUGACCGAUGAGGUGUCAUGGUCCUAUUGGACUAAAAUUUUUAUGUACUGUUGAUCGGUGACGUGGCAACAUGUUAGUGGACCAAAAAUCGUGCGUACGGUACAUGCAUAUACAUGAAAUUAUUUACAACCAAACCGCGUCACUAUUUAAGCCGCCUCACUAUUCAUACCGCAUCACUAUUCAAACUGCGUACUGUUAACCGAUGAUGUGGCGCAAUCCUGAGCGUCCAAAUUAUUUUUAAUCUGAUGGUCAUGAUUUACUUAAUGUAUCUAUAAAAGGGGGCUCCCCCCCAUAAUUUGACAUCUUUGAAUUCAUUUUUGAGUUCCAUUUUCUGUAAUUCCUUCUCCAUAUUGUAUUUUCUAUGUAUUUUAAUAAAUUUCCAUUUUACCCCUAGUUCAAUUAUGAGUAGCUAAUUUUCUUUCAAACUUAGGUUGAAGGUGAAGACUCAACAUGUGCCAUGGGCUUUAUUUGGUAAAUUUACUUUCUCUUCCCCUCUAAUUUUUGUGGAUGUUUUGACUUUUCGUAGAUAAAUAGUAACAAUCUUGUCUAGAUACCGCACUGGUUUAACUGGCUCCCUCAUUUAUUAUUAUUUGGCACGAUAAGCCCUUAGCACCAUAUUGAUUAGAGUGUGGUUCAUGAGGAGUGGAAACCCCUCUCAUGAUUUAAUUGGCAUUAAUAAGGAAUAUUUAGCCCAUGGUGCAUGUCGAUGCAGAUCUAGAUACCCAAGCGCUUCAAUUUUAAUAGAUUUCACUUCAAUUUAUUUCCGCCAUUUUAAUUUAAAUUUUAGGAUAAUUUAAAUCACUUCCACCACAAAUCUAAUCAUCCACUUAUGAAAAUUAACUCUACACACAAUUAAAAUUCACCUCCUCAUGGGAUCGACACUCGUCACCAUUAAUCUAUUCUACAAUAGAUUCGUGCACUUGCGAGUUCAAUAAAAUUUGCACAACAAUCACCAAUCAGUAUGCAGCGUUUAAGAUGUUCAUGGCCAUCCUCCGGUCUCUAGAGCAACAAGUCUCAAUCUCCAACAUUUGGGCACUUUCUUCCAUCAAGAGAUUGUCAUACUUGAAAUCUAAUCGAAGAAAAUCCUUCCUCUUUAGAGCUGCAUAAGUGCAGGUAAUUGCCACGAUCUUUGCCUGCUUUGUCAUUAGAUAAUUUGCUUGAUCAGUUGUUGACUUAACCAACUCAAAUGCCCUGCGCUCUUCAAUCUCCUGGAACAUAUUCUCAAGAUGAUGAAAGUACCCCUUGGCUGCCCGUAUGACUUCCUCAAAUGACCUGCCCGUGAAAACUGACUGAGGGGUGUUUGAGAAGAACUCCUUGAAGGGAAAACGGUCUUUUAUGAAGGUCAGUUUUAUGACCUUCAUUAUCCACACAAGCUGCAAGGAAUUGCUCCCAGCAAUAACAAAAAAUGUUCAGCAGUUUCACAAGUAUAACCUACAUCUUCAGUCAGUCGGAGAGAUCUUGCAAGCCUCUCAACCUCACUAAGCAAUUCUAACCGUCUAACAAGCAUUGCGUUUACUCGGCCUUCCCGGCUAAAGUCAAUGUCGGUUGCCAGUUCUUGUUCACCUUGUCCUAAACGUAGCAGGUAGCGUGCAGCAACAUCCCUUUGGAAAAGAAAUCAAGACAUCCAUUAGAUAAUUUGCUAUAAGCGACUGCCAAAGGGUGCAAAACAUAAAAUUUAGAAUUGAGGAAAUCAAAACAUGCCACAGUCACUUGCACAAUAAGCAAGACAAAGCUAGGCAUCAGACAUUUCUGUGCUCCUGUACGCUUUAAAUUAUUGCAAUUAUCGUGUUGUGCUUUAACCCACCCGCAUGUCUAAAGAUGGCUAAAUACCAACAUAAUCAUGUGAUGCAAAAUGGGACAUGGAAUAUAAUAAUAGUACUUUGGGGGUUAAGAGUUUGAAUGUAAAUUGAGAUUUUAGAGAUGCCCACCGGCCUUUGGUUGAAUGGGAGAGCGUUUACUCACACAAUGUGGAAGAGUAGGUGUUAAAGCAUCUAUAAAACUAUUAUAGUGGUUAGUUUCAGUUCCCUCUCAUUUAUAUAUCAUCAUUUAUAUGUUGGUUGUAUGAGAAUAUGUCCUAAAGUCUUAGAAAAGAAAAAGAACUGAGAUUUUAGGGUCAAAUAAGAAUAAAGAACUUGUGUGAUGAGAUCAAUUCAAGCCUUCGUAUAGUUUUUUAUUUUUUCAAUAGUUGUUGUUAUUGGUAGUGGACGAAUAUUACUCGUCAUUUCAAAUUGCAAUAGAUAAACACAAAUAUAACUCAGAUAAAACAAAUUUGCAUGUUUAAUUAGAUAUACAUAUAUAGAUAUGUAUGAGUGUAUAUAUCUAUAUCUACAUAUAUGAGAGGUGAUUAAAAGAUAUUUGAAGCCUAAGGCGAAUUUAUAGUCAUUUAAAAAUAGUUAUUAAUUUAUUAAUCAUAUUGUAUAUCAAUACAAAAUUAAUUAAAUUUUGGAAAAGAAUAAUAAUGAUAUUAUUGAAAAAUAAAAUAUUUAAAAUGAUGGCACGAUGAAGGCUAAUUGUUAUAUUAUUUAUUUAGGUUAAAUUUUUAUUAUUCUUAUCAAAAUUUAUUAUAAUUCUAACUUAAUUGUUUUAUUCAGUAAACGUGUUAGUGCUCGUUAAGUAGUACACGUGUUGGUGCUCAUUAAGUCAUUGUUCAAUUUCAAUAUAUGUAAAUUUUAAUUAUAAGAUUUUUGAAGCCUUCUAUAAAUAAAAUCUUUAAAGUUUUAUAUUAUUUGUUUAGGUAGUGUCGAUUUUCUAUAAAUUGAGAUCUUCCUAAAAUGCGGGGUUCAAGCGAUUACCUAAUUCAACUAGUAGUACAAUCGACUUUGCACAUAAGCGCAAUAUCCAUAUUUAUAUGUGACUCUACUUGACACAGUAGAUUAUGGUAACAAGUUAGGAGACAUCCUACGACACAUGAAAGAGGUAAAGGUUUUUUACUGUAAUGAUACCGAAGAAGAAAUGUCAAACAUUGUUAGAGUCGUAAUCAUUAUAGUUGGGUGUUCUAUAAAUUCAACAAUCGAUUCGUUUCCCACCACCAUGGCCUUUUUCAAGGAGCUUUUGACCUAUGAGUUUAUAAAAAAUAAAUUUGUAUGGAUUAAAAAUGAAUUCGACAACAUUUAAAUUGUGAAACUAUGGGAACUCAAGCAAAAGGAAGAGGAAAAGCAUAUUAUUAUCCCAGAAUACGAAUUAAGAAAACCGUUAAAAAUGAAAGAAAAAAGAGCACCCAUAUGAUCUUAACUUGAGAGUGGACAAUAUUGAUUGCUAGGUUUGUCAUGACCAAUGAGAUUUGCGGUGGUUUAGGUAUAUUUUUAAAUAUUUUCUAAUUUUUUUAUUGAAAUAAUUAAUUAACUAAUUGACAUUAUUUUCAUUAUUUUUUUGUUAUUAUUAUUAUUAUAAGAUUGCAAUCUAGUGAUAAGCAUAUUGAUAGCCUUUAUUGAGGGAAGACAUCAAUGCAGCACGUGGUUGAUACAGCCAUAUAAGAACUUGUUUGGUUUAUUGUUGUUAGGCUAAAAAGAAUGUGUUUUUGCUAUACGAGCUGGCAGUGAUAGUUUGUAAAUCUCAUCUACUUGGGGGUUAAAAAAAGGGUGCAAUAUCCUACACUUGUCACUCUGUACCGAUGAUACUCGCCUCUUUCAUUUGUAAAUACUCUUAUAUUGGUGAGUAAUAGAAAAGGAUUGGCAGGAGUAAUACUUUGAAGCAGCUUGCGCAACACAAAUGCUUGCUGCCAUGAAAGACAAACAAUUGGACAAGCUAAAACAUCAUCACGCAGUAAACAUCCAAAAACUAAGUCUAGGAUGUCAAAUGGGAGAGAUUCAUAUGGUGGUGGUGUACUUUCGCAACUUUCUGCUAUAUGAGAUUUUCACAAUUCGCUACUAUUAGAACAUCCAAUAACAAACCGGAAAAAGUUAAAACAUGUAGUUACAAGAACAUUAAUAAAUAACACCAUAUGAUUUCAACAAAGAUAAUAUUUUCUAGAAGCCUACAAGAGAACAUUAAUGUGAUUUCUUGUAAUUUUUUUCACUAAAAUGAACUAAUUUGAAACAAAUCAUGGAAUCUAUGUAUUCCAAUAAAGUCUAGAAACUUGUAAAGGCACCAAAUGGGGUAAAACCUAUAAGGUGUAAGUGGAUUUACAAGAGAAAAAGAGGAGUAGACGGAAGGGUAGAAACAUUUAAAGUAAGAUUAGUAGUCAAAGGGUUUACUCAGAAAGAGAGAAUCGAUUAUGAAAAAACAUUUUCUCCGAUUAUCCACUAACAUGAACAACUAAAUUUGCAAAGAAUCAAGAGCCUUUAUGAUGUAUAUGGCUUAUUCUAAAUUUGAUUAAAAUAUUUUCAAUAAGUAUACGAUAUUGUUUAAAUUCCAUAACGGUACAUGUCUACUUUUAGUAAUCAAAAGUUAAAGUCUCCUAAAUAGAUAAUAUAUUACCCUUAUAAAAUAAGGUAUCAACAAUAUAUUGUUCUUAUAAAAUGAGGUAUCAACAAAAAUUGUAUUUGUACAUACAUCUAUCGUAGUACAUAUCUCUAUCUCUCUAUCUACAGUGUGAUAACUUAUUUCCACAAGAAUGUAUGGCAACAACUAUGCAAUUAGACUUUAAAAAAGUGGCAUGUGUAACAAAUCUAUGUACUAUUGUCUCUUGAACUCUUCACCUAGCGGUGGUAAUAUUACUUUGGCUCUACUAAAUGUAUUUCAAACAAUGGAUAUCAUGAAAAUCAUAAUUUCAAGGUAACUUUUAAUCUAAUUUGGCUUGCAAAUGUCAUCGUAUUAAAAUAAUGCUUUUGAAAACAAACAUUCCCUGAUUGUAUAAACUGAGUGAAAUUACAAUUAGUAGCUACAAAAAGAAAACAGUUCGAAGCACUGAAUAGUGCAAUUUCAAAAAAAACAAAACAAAACAACAAGAAGAAUGUGUUCACUGUUCAUUAAUUGCCGCCAUCUAUAUACAUCAUCUCAAUCACCAUUGUUGCCACCAUUUUUACCAUCAUCACCAUCACUCAAUCACCAACACUACCAUCGUGGUACUCAUCCAAUAAAGGUAGAGAACUUGACUGUAGGGAUCCUGCUAUUCCUAACAAUAGCGGAGCAGACAUUGGAAGACAUAGAGAGUAUAUGAAGGCUUCGAUUAUACAAGUAGGAGAUUACUUGCAAUGCAUCACUAGUAACUCAUAUUUAUUAAAUCAUCUUUAUAUUUAUCUAUGUAUUUAAUGAUAACUACUAGUAAUUAUCUAUAUUACUCUAAUGAUGGGUUUUGUAGAAAUGAAAGCAAGAACAAUCGGCUACUAUGUAAGCACAUAGUUUAACUAUAACGUUUACUCUUCAAUUUUAUUUUACUAGCAUGUAGUUUGUUAACAUAAUGUCUUCAAUUUCAGGAUUAUCUGAGAAAAAUUUAUAUGAAAUAUUAUUCUUCAUGAACGGUACCUUCCUCAACAAUUUUAAAAAGCCCUUUACAUCCUCAAUUUCUCUUAUCCAAUAGAAGUGGGACACUAACUAACCACUCUUGCACAUUAUAUUUGUUUUUAAUUUUUUUAAUAUAAUGACCCAAAUCACUACUAGAAAAAAUUAUUACACAUAUUACAUCUUUAUAUAUAUGUUCCAUAUUCAUUUUCCUUAAGUCUUGGCUGACAUCAAAACAAGCACAACUUGAUGCUUGGCUUUCAAUAUCAAAGCCAACAAUAUGGGGAUUUUAAAAUUCUAUAUGUUUUAAUACUUUUAUCUUGUUUUCUUACUUUCUCACCAUUCCUCUCAAACUAGAUUUACUUACUUUGUCAAGCUCCCCUCCCCCUACUCCCCCUUUACCACUAUCUUCGCCUACCCACACUCCUUAUUCACUUUAUUAUCACCUCUUACCCUAUUAAAUAAUUCCAGCAUUCCAUUCAACAAUUUAUGGUCACUCAAGAUUAAUCUAAAAAAAAUCAAGAGCGUAAGAAACUACUGUAAUUUCUUAUAUGAUUUUUAACUUUGAAGUAUUAGCCAAAUGAUGAAAAAUCUAAGAGGCUUAUAGUAUGUUUAUGAUAGUUCAUACUUGGGGUAUACGUCACUAUUCACAAUUACGUAUUGUUCUUGAAUACAAUAGAACACAUGGUUUCUACUUGAUGUAUACGUCAUUGUUCAUGUAGACGUCACUGUUCAUGAACGCGGUAGAUAAUCUUAUCAAGUCUUUUGUCUAUUUUUUUAAUACUUUUUUAUGAUUUAAAACAAACAACGAAAGUAAAAUGGUAGCAACAUCUAAUGAAUUAUUUGAGUUUCUUUCAUUCGAGCCCUAGUUGAAAAACUUUUAGAAAUGCGAUCCUUCCCAGCAAAAUCAAUCAAAUUCAUGACAUCAUGUACUUGUUUUUAAGAUUUCUAGUCAAUUAUAAAAUAUUACAAUUAUGGUCACAGCACAUUUGAAAAUGAUAGAGUAUAAGGACAUAUAAAUGUGGAAAUUACUAGGAAAAUGGUUCAUACACUUCAUUAACACUUGAUGUCCACAAAGUGAAAAUAAAAUAACUUCUUGACACUAUAAGAAAAAAGAGAUAAGACAACAUGAAUUUAGCAACGUGCAUACUAUGCGUGUUAUUAAAUAUGAUAUUUAACAACAUUCUAAAUUCGCGCAUUGCUAAAUGCUGCUAAAAGUUUACCAUUUAUAACGUGAUUCGUGGCGCGUUGUUAAACAUACUAUCACAACAGUUUUGUGAUUGUGGUGGAUUCUAUAGACCAAAUGACAACGUGCAAACUAGCACGUUGUUAAAAGUUUCAUCUUCAGCAACAUUCUAAAAGGUAUGUUGUCAAUAAGAAUAUAUCACAACUUUCUUUUGCUCGUUGUCAUUUGUAUUCAACAACAAACUUCUAGGUAUGUUGUAAAAUAUUUUACUAUAGCUCGUUAAUGCACAUUAUUGAUUAUUUUAUCACUUUAUUUUUUCAAUGUUCAAGAAAUGAAUAUUGCAUAUUAUAAGGAAUAUAUCACAUGAAGAUAAAUGUGUUCCUUUGUGUAAGAUUGAAUUAAUUAAUUGCAAACAAUGGAUAUCAUGAAAAUCAUAGUUUGAAGGGAACUUUUAAUCUAAAAUUGGCUUGCAAAUGUCAUCGUAUUAAAAUAAUGCUUUUGAAAACAAACAUUUCAUGAGUGUAUAAACUGAGUGAAAUUACAAUUAGUAGCUACAAAAAGAACUUCUUAGACGAAACUGGCGUGUGGAGCUUACCCACAUUUACAGGGAGGCAAAUUUUGCCGCUGAUUAUUUGGCCACUUUGGCUUGUUCUAUUCCUUUAGACCUUCAUGUUUUUAGCUAACCGCAUCCUGGGGUGCUCCAAUUUAUUUUGCGAGACAAUUAUGGGGUAGUCUACCCUCGCUUUGUUAUUUUCUUAGCUCUGUUAAGAGCCCCUAUUAAUAAAAAAAAAAAACAACUCGAAGCACUGAAUAGUGCAAUUUCAAAAAAAUAAAACAACAAGAAGAAUGUGUUCACUGUUCAUUAAUUGCCACCAUCUAUAUACAUCAUCUCCAUCACCAUUGCUGCCACCAUCUUUACCAUCAUCACCAUCACUCAAUCACCAACACUACCAUCGUUGUACUCAUCCAAUAGAGAUAUAGAGAGCAUAUGAAGGCUUCGAUUAUACAAGUAUGAGUUUACUUGCAAUGCAUCACUGGUAACUCAUAUUUAUUAAAUCAUCUUUACUCUAAUAAUUAUUUAUAUUACUCUAAUGCAUCACUGGUAACUCAUAUUAUUAAAUCAUCUUUAUAUUUUAUCUAUGUAUUUAAUGAUAACUAUUAGUAAUUAUUUAUAUUACUCUAAUGAUAGGUUUUGUAGAAAUGAAAGCAAGAAGAAUCGACUACUAUGUAAGCACACACUUUAAUUAUAAUGUUUACUCUUCAAUUUGUUUUUUACUAGCAUGUAGUUUGUUAACAUAAUGUCUUCAAUUUCAGGAUUAUUUGAGAAAAAAUUUAUAUGAAAUAUUAUUCUUCAUGAACGGUACUUUCCUCAACAAUUUUAAAAAGCCCUUUACAUCUUCAAAAUCCAUUAAACAUGUUCUAUUUCUCUUAUUCAAUAGAAGUGGGACACUAACUAACCACUCUUGCACAUUAUAUUUGUUUUUAAUUUUUUUAAUAUAAUGACCCAAAUCACUAUUAGAAAAAGUUGUUACACCUAUUAUAUCUUUAUGUAUAUCUUCCAUAUUCAUUUUCCUUAAGUCCUGACUGACAUCAAAACAAGCACAACUUGUUGCUUGGCUUUCAAUAUCAAAGCCAACAAUAUGGAGAUUUUAAUAUUAUAUAUGUUUUAAUACUUUUAUCUUAUUUUCUUACUUUCUCACCAUUCAUUUCAAACUAGAUUUACUUACUUUGUCAAGCUCCCCUCCCCCUACUCCCCCUUUACCACUAUCAUCGCCAAUAAUAAACCAAGAAAAACUUAUAUAUAACUUCAACAAAAAAGAACAUUUUUUUUUUUAAUUUAGAAGAACGAUAUUGAAAUUUACUAUAAUAUUAUCCACUAAAAUGAACAAUUAAAUUUGGAAAGAAUCAAGAGCUUGUAUGAUGUAUAUGGCUUAUUCUAAAUUUGAUUAAAAUAUUUUCAAUCAGUAUACGAUAUUGUUUAAAUUCCUUAAUGGUAGACAUCCACUUUUAGUACUCAAAAGUUAAGGUCUCCUAAAUAGAUUUAUCAUUUAAUUCUUUCUCAUGUCACCCUUUUUGGAUUAAUUGUGCAUUUGCUAAUUUGAUAAUUGGAAUGAAUUAGAAACUUAAAAUCAAAAUGAAAAAUAAACAUAAAAAUAAGUUGUUUACUUGAGCUGUAUGAAUCAAAAUUAGAAUGGGUCGUAUUUCCAUUGAUGUAUUUACUUCGUCAUUUCAUUCUUCCUCACAUCACUCUCAUUGGAUUAAUUGUGCAUUAGUAAUUGAUAAUCAGAAUGGACUGAAAUCUGAACGAACUGUUACAAAUUACUAAAAUAACUUUUAUUAAUUGUCGUACUUUGUAUUAAUUUUUAUUAUAAUAAUAAAUAUAGUAAUAAGAAGAAGAAGAAUGGCAAUAAAAUAAUUAAAAUAAUAAAAUUAAUAAAAUUAAUAAAUUUUAAUAAUAAUAAUAAUAAUAAUAAUAAUAAUAAUAAUAAUAAUAAUAAUAAUAAUAAUAAUAAUAAUAAAGUUCAUAAGUUGUAAUUCCUAUCAUAAAUAAAUAUUAAUGAUAAUAAUGAAAUUUAUAAAAUAAUAAUAAUAAUAAUAAUAAUAAUAAUAAUAAUAAAAAAACGAUAAUAAUUAUUAUUAUAUUACUAAUAAUAAAUAAUAAAGGAAAAAUUUGUAAAUGUUAUGAAACUUUUAGGUAUUUUGUUAAAUUAUAUAGGGACCAAAAUACAAAAGUUUCUACAAUUAAUUGGCAAAAAUUAAGAAUUAUGAAAUUUUAAUAGGGUGAAAUUAGUAGUUCUAAGACUAGGAGUCGAAUUUCCAACCCCCUUGGGGAUCGAACUCCUAUUUCCUAAUCCCACUAAGCUCCACUCAAAUGAUUCUCAUUAUGUUAAUUAUUUUGUGAAAUAAACACUGUAAAUGAUUUUGAUUCUAGAUUCAGAUUCCCCAAUUCAGAAUGUAAUGCACCAUAAAUUAAAUCUUUUACAAUUAAGACUAUACAAUUAAGAAUUUAAAAAAAAACUGUUCAUACAAUUUUUCUUGGUAGUAAAUUAAUAAAGAAAUGAAACUAUGAAAUAAAAUAUAAUUAAUAGGAAUAAAAAAUAUUAAGAUUACAUGAUAUAAUUUCGUAGCUCCUCGUUAGUUUGUAUGAGUAAAUUACAUAAAAGAUGGGGAUGGCAAUGUGGUGGGUUCGAGACAAGGAUUACGAUCCCUGAACCCGAACUUGAAAUAGAAGCAAUCUCCAAACUCGUUUCCAUACCCAAAAAUUCCUAUUUAGGGGCAGUUUGGAGAUAUCUCCAAAAUAUUGAAAUGGAGCGGAAAUUAAAAUGGGGAACUGAUCCCCAUUUAUUUAAGUUAUUUAAUUAUUCAUUUACAAGUUACUUCCAUAUUCUAAUUAGUUUUUUUGUUACAUAUUCUAACUAGUAAAAUUUGCAUCCCAUUGUAAAAUUUUAGUCCGAAAAAUGUUAGAGACAGCUACAUUAAAAAAAAAAAAAAAAAGGGAAAACUUAUUAGAAUUUGUAACUAAUAACUUGAAUACUGCAACAAAAAACUUCAAGUUGUCGUGAGGGGGUAAUGACCAAAAUCCCCCUAUUCGUAUGAAGAAAUUAAUAAUUUCUAAAUUAUUCUUUUUUUAAGAAGAAUUUCUAAACUAUUCACUUUGUAUUUCUUAUCGUCAUAUUAAUAAAUUGUCAUGCACUAUAAAAAUAUAAUUGGAAUCUUUUAAGAUUAAUUUAGCGAGGAAGUCAGAUUUUUGAAAAGCCCGAAUUUAGAUUAACAAGUAUAAUUGGAAUCUUAGUUUGAAAAUUAUGACCAAAAGAAAUUAAUUAAAAAUGAUGGGAAAAUGUUAACAAAUAUUCCUAUGCAUGCAUAGCAUUCAAAUUAUAUUCCGAUAUUCCAUGAAUCAAAAUGUAGUAAAACCAACAAAAUUAAGGAUUUACGUUUUAGAUCUAGUAAUUCUAUAAAAUUAAUUAAUUUAAGUAUACGAUUAAAUCUUUAUGUUUGAAAUAAUAAAAAAAAUCUUAAAUUAAUAAAAAAACUUUUAUUUUUAAAAUUUAUUUCGGGUCCCAGAACUUGGACCUCAAAAUUUUUUAAGCUAUGGAACUCACCCUUAAAAUGGACCCAAUUUCAUUUUCAAAUCAUUUUGAUGGUCCAUACCCGCCCCAAAUUAGUCGGGGGCGGGGCGACGGAAGCUGCUUCCAUCCAAAAAGGUGGUAAAGACUAAACUUCUAGGAAAUUUAGAUAAAAAGCCAAUAAAUUAAUAAAAUUAUAAAUAUCAUUCUCAUUAAUCAUUAUACAUUAUUUUUAGAUAAAAACCCUUCUUUCAAAAGAAAAAAUUGAAAUCUAAAUUACAUAUUUCUUAAUUCUUAUAAAAAAACAUUCUUAAUCUUUUGCAAGUUAAUAUUAUAAUUUAGAUUUUAAAGGGUUUUAGAGUUUAAAACAACACCAAAGCUUUUUCGCUUUGAGCCCUUCUUCAAGGUACUGCAAAAUUUCUUCACUAUUAUUAUAUUUCAAUCCUUCAUUAAAAUUACAAGCUCCCUGAUUCCUUUUCCCUUCUCCUCUAAAUCUUGAUUCUCUUACAAUUCAAAAUAUCCCAUAAAUUGGUUUUAUAUUACAAUGAAAUGUGAAGGAGCCACAAGCGUAAGAGCACUUGUAUUACAGAGUCUUAAAAAUGGAUUUUUGCCUCAUAUGAAGUGGGUUUCAGCUUCUGGUUUGCUUGGUAUUUUGGGUGUCGCUGGUUUUGUCUUGGCUUUGAAAAAAGAUGCCAAAAUUGGAAACUUGAGUGGCUUUUCAUGGCUAUCUGAGAAAGAGAAUCGUUUGGAGAAGUUGUGCUUAGUACCUGGAUUGCAGAAUCUUGGCAAUAAUUGUUUUUUGAAUGUUAUAUUGCAGGUAUGAUCGAAUUCUUCAAUUGGUUAUUUUUGUUUUUGCUUAUUUUGUGUUUUGUCUGUGAAAAAAUAGAGGGAAAUAGUACCAAAAAAAAUUAGAAACUGAGUUGUAUGCUUUAUUAAUUCAUUGAUGUUGGAAGGUGAUACUUAGCGUUAUGGAAAAUAGGAAAUUGUAACUUUUUACUUUACAAAUGGAGCCUAAGAUUGGUGUCAUUGAAAUUUCACAGGCUCUAGCUAGUUGCACAUGCUUUCUACCUUUCCUUCAAAAGGUUAUGGGGGAGUGUGAGGAACCAGAUGAAGACUUGCCGCUUACAGUAGCUUUGGCUUCCUUGUUAGAAGGUAAUUGUUAAAUCAUGUGACAAUUGCAUUGCUAUAGACUUUAAUAUCGCUUUAUUUCACAACCAUGCUAGUGAUUAUGUCUGUUGUGUCCUAGUCUAGUUCAAGAAUCAUGGUGACGUGUGACUUACUGGCAGAUUGUUAUUUCUGUAUCUUCUAAAACUUAAUGAUCUGCAUUCGUUCAGCUUACUCUAGUUGUUAAAUAUUUCUAAGUGUAUCUUUGGUGUUACUAAAUUAAUUAUUUUCAAUUAUGAGUGACAAUUAAUUACUUUCCUUUUGCAGUCUCAUGUUAAGUUUUGGGACUAUUUGUAUUUUUGUGAAUCAGCUUGUUGACACUAUUUAACAAAAUAAUUAUUGCUUAACUCUGAGUAUUCGAUGAAAAAUUCAUUCCUACAGAGUUAUGUUUAGUUGGUGAAACAAGGCUUGUAUUAAGUCCGCAAAAAGUGAUGCUUGCUAUGGAACUUUAUAUUCAAAACUUCAAUCUAACAAGCCAGCAGGUACAGCCAUGUUUUUUUCCAAGUUUCAACAACUUUAUCUUAUUUUAAUAUAGUUCAUCAUUUGUGAAAUUGUUUGUUGCUUAUAGGAUGCAGAAGAAGCAUUUCUUCAUCUUAUGUCCUCUUUAAGGGAAGAAUUUUUGGAGUCUUAUAGUCCAAAUGAAAGUUCUCUGGUGGAUGCUUUUGAAGCUGCAAGUUGUCGAAUUCUUUCUCUAAAAAGGAGGGAGGUCCAGAGUGAGCAGAAAAGAUGGAGGAAACACUUCUUUGGGCCAUUUGAUGGGAUUCUUGGUAGCAUUUUAACUUGUCAGAGUUGUUUAUCUCAGGUUCAUGUGGCCCUCCUAGAACACUUUGUGAUAGUGAAAUGUUUAUAAAGAGUUUUGUUCUCCUCUCACUUUCUAUACAUAAGUGAAUUCUGUUAUAUUUAGGAUGGAUACCCAUUAGAAAGAAUUUGCAUGCGCCUGGAGUAUCUAAGUUGUGACUUGUGAGUACCUGGAUGCAAAUUCGAGUUUUUUUUCCUGUGAACUUCUAGAAUUCAAUCAGUCUUUCCUUGAAGAUAUGGUAGUAGUUCUAUAAUGGUUUCCAAUAAUCCUAUUGGAUUGUUGUUUGGUUGGAGGGAAUCUUUGGCCAAGUUUGAAAACUAGUACAUUUCUAUGCAUAAACUUUUUCCUGCCUAGUAAUUAAAUUAUUUUUCACUCUCCAAUAUCUUUAGAUCUAAUAUCAUCUUCUAUUGCAGAUUUCACUGGACUAUCAAUUUUUUCACAGCUUACCUCUUUCACCCGUGCUGGAUAGUGGUUCCACUAUUGUAUGUGACCAAAGGUUUAACCAUUCAGUAUUCCUUAUGUUUGAGCCAAUGGCUUGAUUUUUAUCUUCAUAAUUUUCUUAUAUAAUAGCUCUUUCAAUUGUAAUUUUAUUUCCAUCUUAUACUAGCCAUUUGGAUGCACACUGGAGGAUUGCCUAAAGCAGUUUCUCACUGCCGAACAACUUGAGAAUUACCACUGCAGCCACUGCUGGCACAUUGCUGCAAUAAAGUAUUUAUCUAUAACAGAAGCAAAUGAGGUAGUGCCCUUGUUAAAUACUUUAUUCUAAUCCUUGCUUAUUGAAUAGAUAGAUGCUGGUCUUAUACCCGUCAGCGCUAACUUUUUGGUCUUGGAGCAUGUCCAACCAGAUCUUCUAGCUGUUUUUCCUAUUUUGCCAUUCUCUUAACUCUUCCUUUUUACUUCUUUCGACUCUUGUACUUUUGUCAGUUCUGAACCUGACUCUCGAGUUCUAUAGGGCAAUACUGCUUUAUGUACAUUUCCUAUGUUGUAAUUUUGAUUUCUUUUCUUAGAUGGAGAUUGAAGAACUCAGGAGAUGUAGUGCACAAGAUUCCUGCAACUGUCGUAGUCAUCUUCAUCUUGAAACACUGCCAUGGUCCAAUAAAUUCUCCCACACUCUUAAGAAACUAAGCAUCUCUCAUUGUCCACAGGUAUGAAAACCUCUUCUUCUUUUUUUUCUUUUUUUUUUCUAAUUAACCCUUUUCGCCCUUUUCUGUGAGAGCUAAUGUACUUGUCAAGUGGCAAAAGGGACACUGAGAAGUCAUUUACACUUGGAUGGAAAAGAGAGUGAGGUACCUUUUAUGAGAUUGUGAUUUAACAUCUAUAGGAUCUCUUUGACAGCUAGGAAACUUCAUUAACUACCAACAUCUUUGUCUUCAUUUGAAAUAUAUACUCGAAAACCUUCUUGAUAUAGUUUUAACUCUAUGUACUUGCUAAAGUCUAUCAGGAUUCUAUUGAUUCGAAAUGAUCCAUCCGAAGGCUGUAUUUGGAUGCUUACUGUGGAUUGCACCCUAGCCUUAUUUUUUUUUAAGCCCUUGCUUUUUCACAAAGGCUAUUGGACUAAGCUAAGCUUUUCCUUUUUCUGAGUUGUCAGUUUUUUUGUAUCACUUACUUAAUUUCAUAAGAGAAGAUUCUGGUAGGUUCAUAUUCCAAUGUUUAUCUACCAUUUGUGCAGUGGCUGAGGCAGAGAGGGAAGAGUUUAGUAUUAGGCAUAAUCCUGAAAACAGAAAUUGCUACUUGGUGCAUAAACAGGCCAAAACUAAAUCCAAUCUCUAUCUUUGUAGUGAAGAUUCUAAAUUAUCAAUUCUUAUUAAUUUCUGAACUAACAAGUUAAUGAUUUUUGUGUUGGGUGCAAGUCUCAUCAAAUUUUUCUGUGUCACUAGCUUGUAAAUACUUGCAUAGUUGGGUCUCCAAAAUGUACUAAUUAGUCUGAUUUCAUGCUCACAGAUUUUAUGCAUUCAUCUACAACGUGUUUCUAUAAAUGAGAUUGGAGAACUAGUCAAAAUCUGGGUAUGUGAGUUUCAUUCUUAACAUUGCAUUUUAAUAAAGAACUUCUGUAUUUCAUACAUUUUCAUCUUAAAUUUUUGGAUGAUGAUCUUUCCAUAUUGGUGAACUGCUGUAUUGAUAAUACAGGGCCAUAUUGCUUUUCCAUUGAUUUUGGACCUGUUUCCAUUCGUUAAAAGUGGAGUAGGAAUAAAUGACUUGGAUGAAAGUUGGCAAAGAGGGCAAGCAAAAGUACUAAAUGAGAGACCAAGCUCUUCUCUCAACCAUGUUAACAGGAAAUAUGAUGCAAAAGUGCUAAAUUCUAUUUAUGGACUUAUGGGAAAAAAUAAUCACACAAAAGCGUUAGGUGUAGAUGAACUUGGUUGCACUGCACAUGAGAAAGAAUUUCGGGGAGAAUCCAUAUUGCCCCCGACUCAAAGCGGUUCCAAUGUUAGAGGCACAGAUAUCCAGAUGCAACCAGAUGAUGAGGUUUGUUGAAUAUUUUAUGAUAUAAAUGUGUCUUUGUUGGAUAGGAUAUGGAAUUUGUAACAUCAUAUUUAUUAGAAAUUACAGUUAUCAUGCAUUUGAGAUAUGCAUCUACCUAGUAAGUUAGAGCUUCAUGUCGAACAUAAGCAACAUGCAUGUUUUGAGAAUGCUGCAGAAGCAAAGAUUUGAUGAAAAAUGUUUGAGCAGCUGUAGAGGCUUACGUAUGUCAUUUAUUAAAACAUCUAAAAAAAUUUACUACUUACUGCCUCAUGUUGCCUUUGUUUAUGGAUGAUUGAGGGAUUUUCAUUUACAAGUGUGAAGUAGGUUGACCUAGUAGCCUCUUCCGUUGACCAUUGGUUAAUGAUUUUUCUGUUAUAACUGAACUUUCAGUUCCAAUUUUCAUGACUUGGUCUAAUUAACAUAUUUGAAUGCAAAUGCUGGAUAUAUUUAACCGCUAUAUCAGAAGAAAUAUUGCCAUCCUGAAUUUGUAAUUGGAUUCUGUGGUGAUGGCAUGUGGACUAUUCUCAUGAUCUCAUCCUCUGAGUUUGUCUUAUUCAUGGUUUGUAAUUUCUUGGGUGCAGGUGAUUGGAUCUUCUCAGUUAUGCCAACCAAAUACUUAUCUGUAUCGUCUUGCUUCGGUUGUGGAGCACUUUGGAAGAGUUGGAAGUGGGCAUUAUACUGUUUACAGGAGUGUGAGAGUAGAGUUGCACGAAGAAAAUCCUAAUGAGCAUUUUGAGACACCUCUUACACAUUGGUUUUGUAUUUCAGAUUCUCAAGUGUAUAGUGUGUCAGUAAACGACGUCCUAGCUGCAGAGGCUAGCCUACUCUUCUACGAGAGAAUUAUAGAAAGCUGACAGUACAUCUACUACUUUUCUCAGUGUUUCGGAAACAUCACGUAAUCCUGGUCAAAUGCUGCUCGUUGGAUUGUAAUUUCGUUCGAGAACUUUUGAAGGAUCAAAGAUAUUGCAUGCAAGCAGCUCAAGGCAUUUUUACCUGGGGAGAUGAAUAAGGCACGAGUGUUUGACUAUACCUGUGGGAGAAGUAGCUUAUACAGUUAUUAGAAUACCUUGAAUUCAGAGCUAGAUAGAGUAGUCAUCAUACUGAAAUAUGUGGAAAUAGUUUUUGGAAAUUAAUUUCCAUUUUUGUACCUGACAGCCUUGGGAUUGGUUGUUUCCAAUUUGUUGUAUUGAAAAUAAAAAGUAUACCAAUUUGAUGUAUUGAAAAUAUGUAGCAUACUUUUGACGUGUCACACUUUCUUUGUUUCCCAAUAAGAGGAUAGAUUUCUUGUGCUCAAGUUCUGAUUUUUAUCUUUUCCUUUCUGUAAUGUUGUACUGAUUGGGUCAAUGUGAUUAUAUGUUGUCAAUGGUUGUAAAUCAAAAUUUAAAAUAAAUUUGAUGCAAUAAAGACUGUUGUCUGAUAAAGACUAUUCAUUAUAUACACAAAGACUAUUCAUUAUAUACAAGACUAAUCAGUUUCCAAGUGUGUAGCUGUUGUUGGUUGGAAUUGUUGGAGUUAUAAGUCUUCUCCAAUAUCAUCAUUAUAUUAUUAUUAUUUUCUCAUGAACGCAAACCAAAUCCAUAACACAACUUCAUGAUUCUUUUCCAACAUCAUUGUAUUAGUUUGUCUUCCCAUGAAGACAAAUUAAAUCAACAACGCAACAAAAGUUGAAAAACAACUUUCAAAAUACACAAAAACAGAGCAUUGGUAUAAUUUUGAAUGCUUGCUAUAGUUUUGCGCUAUAAAAAAGAGGCCAUUACCCACGUGUUUCCAUAAAUGAUAUUAACUUAUUGGAUCAAAAAUUUGACACUGAAGAAAAUGUAUAUUAAUUGUGGCGGUAACAUGUUAUAUAAUGAUUUAUAUAUUAGGGUUUAUAAAAAAUAAGACAUAAUUUUCGUUUUGUUAAAAUAAUAAAGUUAUAACAAGAACUUUAAAAAAGUGUGGUGGCUUAUUUAAUAAAUUCUUAAUAAAAAGUAAACAAAAUCUUAUUUUUAAAAGUUAUUAUUAAAAUAGAGAAAAUCAUGAAAUAAGAAGCUUUUAAAAACUUUACCAAAAGCUAUUUGUGUUAAAAAUUAUGAAAUAAAUAGUUUAUAAAGUUUCAACCUCAAUUUGAAAGAGGACUUGUAUAAGUUUUCGUCUUUUAUUGUAGUUUUCAUUAAGAUUAUAAUUAUAAACUUAUUAGAGGGGUGUCAUAAGAACUUGAGAGGGGUGUGGAGAAACUCAACUUUAGGUUAAACUAUGUUGAGGUCUUGGGACUAAGCGGCCGUAGGCCCAAAAGAUAAAGACUUUAAAUAUAAAUUUGCUACGCCCCCUUAAAAUUAUAAAAUUUCUAUUAUGACCCUAUUAAACCUAUAUUUUUACAUUAUAACCUCCAUCGAACCAAAGUUUUCCGUCCACCAAAACAACCCAUGAAUUAUCAUAGGUUUGGUGUUCUGACACACGAGAAUUCUAAAAGCUUUAAAUUUUAUUUAAUUAAAUUUUUAGAUUAUGUAUAUAUUAAAUUUUAGAAUUUAAUUGAAAAGGACAAUAACUUUUAGUUUUUUAAUUAAAAAAAGUAAACACUUGAAUUAACCUUUUUAGUUUCUAAAACGGUAUUUACGAGUGCUUUGUUCAAAGUUUAUUUACACAAAAACAUUUGUAAGCUAGUUACAUAUAGCAACUUCAUUUAAACGUCCAAGAUGAGAUACAAAAUUCAAACCCUACUACGAUGGGACAAAAUAUUAAUGACAAAUAAGGAAAUUUGAUGAAGAGCUAGACCUUUUAUGAUUAAUUUUGAAUAAUUAAGACAACCGAAAGAAAAUUAAUCAAAGAAUUAUUGGCAAAUGUAUACAAAUUCAUGUUUAUUAAGAAGUAAAGUUUUGCAUUAUUUGCAACUUUAGGAGGAGCUAGUUGUGCAUAAGCCAGUUUACCUUUUGUCCACAAGCUCUAUAUACUCUUUUGAGAAAUUUUGAAGGAUAAUAAGACUGUGGAUGAAUAUGUUAACAGACCAAGUAAGCGAUUCACUUAAAAAUUAUCUAUCAGCAACAUUAUUUUAAAAUGAAAGUUAAUUAUUUUCCGCCUAAGUGAUCAUUUACUGUUAAUAUGUCUUAUUUUAUAAUCGUCGUGAAUAAUUCAGUUAUUGAUGAUCUAUUCACUUUACAUACACAUAUAUAUUCCAACAGGGCCGGCUUUAGAGUAUGUGGGGCCUUAGGCAAAAAAUUUUUGUAGGGUCUUUUUUUAUUUUGUAAUUUCAAUACUCAAAGAAAUAUAAAAGACUAAAAAAUUUAUUCGACUUUUAACUCUUGAAUUUUAAUAGUAAUAAAAAAGAUCUUAAAAAUUUUCAAAAACCAAACUUAAAAAAAUAAGCAAGAAGAUAUCUUUUUUACUUCCAUUAAAAUUAUUACAAAAAUAAACAAACAAAUAAAUAAAAAUAAUAUUUUUUUCAAAUAGAAUAUUUUUCUAUUUAGAAUAGCAAAAAAUUGAGAUGAUGAAUUGAUUAUCAAAUAAAAGAUAUGCACUUUGAAAUUUUAAGAAACUAAUUUUUUCUUUUUAAAAUGAAUCAAGGAAUGUAAUAAUUCUCUUUGUAAAAAAAAAAAAAAGAGAGCAAGAAAUCUAUUUAUCUAUUGAUUUUUUAUACUACAAGGAAUUAAAAGGAAUAUUAAAAGUCAAAAAUUUUAAUUUUUUUAGGAAAGUUAAAAGGUAAAAAAUGUAAAUUGUUUUUUUAGAAAAACUAAUAAUGAAUGAAUUAAUGACUAAACAAUUUUAUUAAUUAUAUCUUUUGAACAUUAAGGUUACCAAAUAUUGAUUUUCUAUAAAGAAAUAAAAAAAAUUCUUAGUUAUGGUAUAACUGUUAAUUAUAAAGAUGUCUAAUAGGAUUUUCUAAAAUACAUAAUUUUUUUUUAAAAGAUAUUUAUUAAUUAAAGAACUAUUAAGAAAUACUAAAAAAAAAAUGAGGCCUUCAAAAAAUAUAGGGCCUUAGGCAAUCGCCUUGCUCGCCUAUACUUAAAGCCACCCUUGUAUUCCAAGUUAUAUGAGCUGCUUUACUGAUCAUCUUCUCAUAAAUUCUCUCAUAUUAAACACCAACUUAAGUGUUGAAGUGUCUUUUACAGGUUCGCCUAGAAGCUCAAUAAACAAAGGAGAGAUUAGAUUUUGUAAGAGAAAAACUUAAAGAAGUAAUUUUAAUCAUCAUAAGGUUUAAGAUCUUGCAAUAAUCAUAAAGAGCACUCAAAAUUUUGUUCACGCAAUUUUUUUUUUCCCUUGAUGAUAUAUCCUGGUGAAUUCACUAUAUCAAGAAUAUACAAGCCACAUUACUAAACCUGAGAUAACAAAAUAAACAGUCCAUAUUAUUUAAUUUUAAAAGGCUGAAAAAAAAAAUUAGUGCUUCCCAAACAUUAAUAUAUGAUAGCAAACUAAACUAAGUCACGCAUAAUGUGGAAGAAGAAAAUCGAUAUCAUCCAAACAUGAGCUUGUAAAGUUGUGUGUGUGUGUAUACAUAUACACACGUAUGAUGUAGCAAAAUUAUUUUUUGUAUUUAUAUAUAUAUGAUAUUAUCGAAACCAGUUAACAAACAACAAGCAUGUCACACUCAAGGUUUUCCUCUCAUCAUAUAGCCUUUUCCAUAACCCUAAUUUAACAAAGACAUUUAAACUGUAGAAUAUAGCAUUCUCCUGUUUUCAGAUUGAUAAUAAUACUAUACAUAUAUGAGCACUAUAACUGAUACCUCCUCCUCUCAAAUUGUAUAUAUACAUACAAUAAGCAAAAGGAGCUAUUACAAAAGGAGCAUUUUAAGACUAGCUAAAGACUAAAUUAAUUUACAAAAUUUGUGGCUUUAGUUAUGAAUUGGAGGCUUCCUUCUUGCUGGAGUGUAAUCCGCAGUGACCAAGUCAUCAUCACCAUCACUUGGCUUCCCUCUACUUUCUUCUGCUGGAGCAAUAAACACAUCAUCUUGGCCCUUCUCAGCAGCCACAACACUAGGCGGCGCCGCCCUCAAACUUCGUGCUACAUACCAAAACAAAUAAAUAAAUAAAUAAACAAAUAAUUAAAUAACACAUCAAGGAAUUGCUUUGCAUAUCAAACAGUGCAAAGAACUUACCUCCAUUAGUGAUAGAGAUGAAGCAAAGAAAGAUGAAAAACACGAAAAUAAGAUGCUUGCUCGAAACCCUAGCCAUGGCAGAAGAUUGAGAUAUCUAAUUAAUUAUCGAUGGAUCUUAAUUUCUCCUUCUUCUUUUUUAGGGUUUACUUUUUGCUAUUUUUCUUAUAUGUCUAACCCUCUUAACUUUUGCACCCAUUUAUAGGCACAAACACAAGAAAAUAGCUGCCUAAAUUUGCAGACAUGUUGAGCCAUUGACGGUGACCCAAUUUUUGAAAUUUUGUAGCAACUCUCUACGUAGAGAAAAUUGCAAUCAACAUCAAUGUCUGCUGAUGUCUUUGCAUGAAAAGGGUGUAUGGCCUGGCUGGCUUAAUUUGGUUGCUCUGGAGAUGGGGAAAUUUGGUUCUUUCAAUUAAUCUCCAGAGAGAAAAUAUUUGGUUUGUCAAAUGUGAUUUUGUUUUUGAGUUAGGAAGACUUCAAUUCUUGUCCCCAUGAUAGUUGCAUAUUUUACAUACAAGAGGGAUCCACUUUUAUAGCAUGCGCAAAGCAAAAGCAACAAUAUACUCUAUCCUUAAUUAAUAAAUAAUUAAUUAUGCCAAGAUCACUUUUUGAUUUACCUAAUUUAUGCAUUAAUGCAAGAUUUCCCCAAUUAUUGUACUUUCUUAUGACUUUUAUUUCUCUUUUUUAUUGGGUUUAAAUGAAUAAAAUUAAUAUCAAAUUAGCAAUAUUUAAUUUAAAAAUUUUUUUUUUGGUUUUUUCUUUGGGGGGGGGAUCACAAUUAAGUUCGAAUACUAGGGGAACUACUUAAUGUUAAUCAUGGUGGAAAUUUUUUUUUUUUUUUUGGUGUUAUUGUUUAUACACAUUCAUGGAUGUGACCAAAUGAGGAGUCUAAGGUAUGUAAAGGUAGGACUAUAGAAAAGGGACGAAAUAUUUAUAUGCUUAUAGAUUAAGGUUUAAGGUGGUGGCAGAUAAUUAUUUCUUAAAUUUUAAAAUAAAUUUCCCUCUUAACCUAAUGGCAGUGUGAAAAUGUUUUAAUUAGGAUAAGUUAAUUAGAAACAGAAUUAUUCAUUUUCUUCUCUCGCUAUUAAUUAGUUUUUCUUUUCUUUCCUUUUUCUUAGAUCUUUUUAGUAAGCCCUAAUGUAAAAUGAAAAUUUGAAAAUCAUCAAGUUAGAGACAAGAACAUACUGCAUCCUAAACUUUUUGACACAACUAAUUAAGAAUUAAGACGAAUUAACACGAUAGAGAUAUAUACACAUAUACGUAAGAAAGAAAUUCUUCUAAUUAAGAAUUAAUAAGAAUUAACCAAUAGAGAUACACGCACACACACAUGUAUACACGAAAGAAAUCCAUGAAACACCUGCAUCUCAUCAAAUUUAAAAAGAGGAAAAAUGAAGCAAGUCGAAGAUAUAGUUUUAGUGAUUAUUACCUUCUCUGAAAGUAUGAGUACUGAAUCCAUUUUGACGAUUCAAUGUUACAACAUGAAUAUUAAUUAUCGAGAAAGAUGAAAUAGAGAAAGUGUAUAUCAAAUAUAUGCAAGAUUGUUUUGUGUGUCCUUAGAUCAUUGGACAAGAUGAAAUGGAGGAAGAAAUUAAAAUUGAAGAUCUAUUUUUGUUCGCCCCGAUUAAUUAACUUGUAAUGUAUCAUAUGAUAAUAAAAAUUUAUCAAUACUUUUUAUGCUAAUUAAUUGUUGUCACGUUGAUCAUAGAUCAUUUGUAUGCUUCAAUGAAUAAAUUAACUCUAAAAUUAACGUUCUUAACGGUUUGGUUAUACUCAAUUCUUAAUUACUAGAAUUCAAACCGGUUCUAAUUCUAACCAAAAUUUUGCUCCUAAUAAAUAAAAUAAUUGAUGCUAUCUUUAUUGACUAUCAAUCCACUUUUGGUAAAGUUACCAAAAUUCAAAAAGAAAGUUCUAAUUUUGUUUUCCUUACUUUUGUCUUUUUACUUUUGGAAUUUUUAUUCAAAAAGUGAUUAGGGAAAAGCUUCAAGCAUUAAACGAUUUGUGGGCCUAAUUUCCACUAUGCUCAGCAACAUAUCAUUUAUGGCUUGCGGUGCCAAGAUUGUAAAACAUUUUGGACAUAUAUAUAUAUAUAUAUAUAUAUAUAUAUAUAUAUAUAUAUAUAUUUUUUAAAUUAUGCAUUUUGAUUAUUGUUUACACCAAGGCUACUAUUUCCAAAGUUUUACCAUUAGUAUAAUAGUUGAAGUUUUAUGAAUGUCAACAGUUGAAAAAAAUAUAGAUUCAUAACUAAAGUCUUCAUGUUUUUAUUUUGUAUAUCUAAUUAAUCUUAUCGGCUCUUACUUUCAUCCUAUCGGAUCCACAUUUCAUGUAAAAUCACAUGUAAAACUUGACUUUAAUGUCAAUGUGAUGAGUUUUAACUUAAAAGUUUUUAAUCAAAUAGUCACAUGGGUUCAGACUACAAUAUCGCUACCUAUAUUGUUGUAAUUACAUAUAUAUUCAAGAAGCGAGGUAGCAUCUGCUUGAUUGAAAAAAUGUCCUUAAUUGCAUUUAUUAUUUAAGUCCUUGCCUCAAUAAACUUAGUUAAAAUGUCUCUAUGUGUUGAAAAUUUUAAGCUUCUGUCUCUCUGAACUUAAUUGAAAAUUCCUGCAAGUCGUAAUCACUUAUAUUGUAUUCAUUGUUAUAUUACUCUUUAUGAAAUAAAUUUCUGACUCCGUCCCUGAAUAUAUUCGUUAACUUUUUCAUUGAAAUAUGUAACAAACAAAAAAAAGAAAAAUUGUUGUAUCAUAAAAUCACAGCCGCACUACCGUAGUCUUACACACACAGUAAUUGUGUUAAUACAAUAUUAAUAGUCAUUAAUGUUAGUAUUAGGCAAUUAUCCAUUUUUAAUAUAUUACUAAUUAGCAUGAUUUUUUUUUUUUUUGAAUAGUUUACUAACACGAAAAGUAUUUACACGUUAAAAAUUAGUAGAAGACAAAGUAGUCCCACUAAAAAUUAUAGGGAUUUGAUUACUGAAAACGAAGCACACUUAUCUCAUUAUUUGAUUGACAAUCAAGGUUAAUUAGUUGGUUAAUUGCGGAAGGAACCAAGCAUUAAUGAAUGGAAGGAUAAAAACCGACAAGCGGUGGGGCUACGUAUCGUUUUCAGACAAUGUUUACGUACGUCGUCGAUCACGUGAAACAGUCUGGUGAUUAUCUAAUCGAUGGGUCCGACUUGUCGUUUAAUAAGGACAUGAUUUAAACAUGAUUUAUUGAGGCUUAAAGAUAAGAGACACUAAUUAAGCCGUACCAAAAUUAUAUUCAGAAAAAAAUGGGAAGAUGUUAAAAUGGUAAUAAUUUUUAUAAAAGCUAUUUAAAAUCAAUUAAUCGAUAAUUUGUAGAUGGUAGUUAAUCUCUCCGAUGAUGUACACGAGGUAGAAAAUUUAGUUAUCAUAUCAUGCAAUACUUUUUAUACAGGUUUUUUUUUUAAUCUCUUUUUCAAAAAUAAAGAAUUAUCACCCCACCUAAUGUCCUCUCACAUUUUCUAAAUCAUCAUUCUCUUAACUUGUAACUCAAAUUAUUAGUUGACCUCCUUUUUCUUCAAGUUGUGACCACAAAACAAAAAAGUUCGAACCUAAGUGACAAAAUUUCUCCUAACUACUGGCACCAUUGUCACUUUGAAAAGCCAACUGGGAAAAAUUAGACCAUAUAAUAUUGACAAUAAAACAUUAGCAUAUGAUUAUUGGCAUGAGAACUAACUAACUAAGCAUUAUAGGCAACAUUAUGAGCUAAAUCAAUCCUAUUAGUGAGCCCACAUGGGUUGGGGGUCCCCAGCCCCGAACUGUGCUAAAUUUAGCCACGUUAGUGCAAGCCACCGCACCUAACCUGAGAAUUAUCAAAUUAAAUUGGUGAAUGGAAGGGCUUCCUUUGGAACAUCAUUGCAUAUUUGCUUUUUCAAUAAAAAUCGUCACCCGAGGCACGAUAUUUUGGGGGGCCUUCAGUGUUGUAGUUAUUAGUUAACCCACUAAAAUCUGAGGCAUCCAAUAUAUCCAUUGGAUGCAAUCUUCCCACGUAUAUUGCUGAGAAGAAAAAGAAAAAUUAAAUCUAUAUAACGAUAAAGGUGAACGACAAUUUGAUUCCUUUUAAAAUUUAUUUCUACUAUUUGGAUUUCUGAUAACUUAUAUCUAGUUAUUGAAAUAUUAAAAAAGGGACACAUUCUUCAAAGGUUAAUUUUUAACAAAUGAAUUACCUAACUUUAAUUUGUAGAGAUUACGGAUAAUUAGUUUAUAUUUAAAAAUGUCAUAAUUACUCCUUCAAUAGUGUGCCUUUUUUUUUAAUCUUGUUGAUUCAAAUUAGGUAUUCAAAUUGUAUCAAAGGCCAACAACAAAUUCUAAGAGGAACGAAAGUGUCGUUUUCGUAUGUAAAAAAAUUAUAAUAUGUUCACAAAAAUAUUGUUGUAUAUGUGCCAUGGUUUAAUGUAUAAUUAAGCACCCAAUUUGUGAUGAAAAUGAUCACGAUAACUGUGACACAAUUCUCAAAUGAUAUUUAUACAAAGUGAUCUGGCAUUCAUCCGUUAGAUAUUAGAAUAAUAAACUAGAAUAAAAUAAAUUUAAAGCAUAUGUAAGAUAUACUUUAUUGGAGAUGCAUGUUAAAAUAUUCUACCUAAGACUUUCUUUAUCAUCAUAACCUUUUUAUUAUUGUGAUUUGAUAUACUUUCUAACCAUAUUCCUCAACCCAAACGCAUAAAAGACCCAGAGAGAAGCGAAGAAAAAUCAUGCCAGCAUAGGAGCAAACAAGAUGCGAGCCACCCGGUGGCUCACGUGAUGGACCGUGACGAUUGAGCUAUCUUUUUGGCUUAUAUAUGAAUGCAGUGGGUGCCAUGGGGUAUGUAUGUGUAUACCAUCACUUACCACGACAGAAAUGAAACAACCAACAUUUUCAGAUGGAUGCUUUCAAAAAUUGAUCGGUUUUUGAAGUGAUUUGUGUCUUUUCCUUGUUAGCUGAAUUAGGGUUUCCGGAUGGACCCCCAUGGCCCGGGCCGUCUGGCUCGAGCUGACAAGUGUAGGCUCCACGGUGGGUGAGCUAGCCCUGGCCCUCACUAUAUGAGCUAGGGUUAGCAGCCGUGGGUCACUACUUGAGGUUAUUGUCAUAGUUGUCGCGUAUAAAAUAUUCUAGAGUACAUAUUUGUUUGUGAGAAAACGUUCAGCUGCGAACAUCUGUAUUUUAUAAAGCGUAGACUUAUUUUUUUACAUCAAUUUGAAAAAUAUUUAUGAUAUUGAAAAUGAUUAAUUUUUCCAUUAAUGUAAAGGAUGAAUUGUGACUUUUGCAUCAAUAUAUAUAUAAAAAGGCGAGUUCACAUUUUAUAUAGUGUGGAUAUGCACACCACUAAGAUAGAAUUUAUCGAAUUCAUAAUAGAUGACAUGGUUUAAUGAAGGAAUAUUAUACUUUCUAUAAAUUGUUUAUAUAACUUUUUUUUUUUGAAAAAAAUGCUCAUUUACAUAAGCUGGGUUGGAUCGGUUGAUAUGAUUUUUUUGUGUUAACUUUUUAAGAAGCAAUGGUAUGUAGUUGUUAGAUAAUAAUAUAUAUAAGAUUAAAUUUUAUUCGUGCAUUAUUAUAAAUAGACAUAAAGAAUAAGAUCUUUAAAAGAUUAGAAUAGUUAAGAACAACAUUAGAUAGAAUUUGUAAAAAAUAUAUUAUGAGUAUAACUCAUACUCAUAAGUUAAAUUUUUACUUGAGAGUUGCAAAAAUCAUUAUCUGCCAUUAUGUGGGAUUAUCUCACUAAUUACACUUUUAUCACGUGCAAUUCAAUCUUUUUUAUUAGUUCUUAUCUGAUGAAAGAUAUUAUUGUUCUUAAUCACACAUGAAUUUGACCUUAAUAUCAUUGUAUAAAACUUAUGCAUCCAAGUCAUACUAGAAAAUAAGUCGUGGGUUGCCCAAAUUUAUUGGCUAAGGACUAUUCGCAUUCAAUGUAUGUUAUCUCCCUAGCAUGUGGCAUAAUAAAAUUAAAACGAGUGUCGAUGCAAUAAAUAAAUAAAAAUUAAAAAAAGUGUGAUAACAUUGAUUUUUCUUGUCGAUCUUCCUAUAUAAUCAUUUAGGCCCGUUGAUAUGGAUGAAUUUGUACAUCACUCGUACAUUUAAAAAAGACAACUUCCAUUUGACUUAUUGUGUUUCCUUUUGACAUAUGUGUUUACCUUUUUAUUUGAAAUUUACGUAAAUAAACAAGAAAAAAAGAAACGAUUCUAAAGCAGUGCCACCUAGAUUGAGUAGUUUCUUAAAAGACCUAUCUUAUCACUAUUUUCAAUUAGAUUCAUUGCAUAAAAAUAUGAAAAAUUGUCAUUUUGUAGUAAGCAAGGAAGAAGAGCAUAAUUUAAUAAAUAAGAUCUAAAUUCAAUCAUGGGUAUAUCAUAAUUGAAACAAUUAUCAAUUAUUUCUUUUUCGCUUCCAUUCAUCAAAUUGUUUUAUUUAAUUAAUAUAAUAUAUUCCAUCUUUGCUUUUAAUUAGCCAAAGGUGUAGCUAGAGUGCAUGCCACUUUCAUGUCCAUGCCCCGCAUAUCAGCCAUGACAAUAAUAAAAUUUGUUUAGAAAUAUUGAUCAUACUUAUUUUAAUACGAUUUUCAGUUUAAAUGUUUCGGUCAAAUAAUUUUAUUAACGCACGAUAAUUUAAAACUAACGUCUUAAGUUUAGUUCAACGAAUAAGCCUACAUAUAACAUGAAAUGUUUUGUUGUUCUUAUAUAUAUAUAUAUAUAGGUGGGUGCACGCACCCUCAUUUUUUUUUCAAUGUAAACAUACUGUUAAGUUGUGCAACUUAAUAGAGUUAUUUUUUAAUGCACCAUAAAGUUAUGCGAUUUAAUAGUAUUAAAAUAUGACUCUAUUAUACCACACGACUUAAAAGCAUGUUCACAUGGAAAAAAAAAUGAAAGCCCCUGCACUAAAGAAGAACCAAAACUGAAUGGUUUCACCCGUUCAAAACUAAGAGGGGAUGCCGCCUAGUACUAAAAUCCUGGAUUUUACAACAAUUGCAUUAUUCUUGUUAUCUAGCUAAUAAGGGAUUUAUUAAGUUAUUAAGGCAUUUGAUAAAAUAAAAGAUAAGCAAAACACACAGUUCAAUGUAGUAUAUAUUAUCUUGUAGUGUAUUAAAAUGUGCAUUUUUUUAAGGGAAAAUAUUCACCGUCCACCCGUUUUUUCCAACUUUUUUAAAAUUACACAAUUUUUUUUUUUGCUGGAAUCCACAUAAAGUUACAUUUUGUUUCACUUUUCCACUUCCGUUUGGAAUCCGUUAAGAAAAAUAAUAGAAACUUAAGCAAAUGACCAUUUUACCCCCCAAAACUCAAUGAAUAAUAAAACUAAAACAAUUCUGUUUGUAAUUUUCGUUUGAUGAAUAUCAUUAUUGGUACGUUAAUGAAGUACAAAAAAAUCUUAACUACUAGAGAUUAUAACUCAAUGAAUAAUAAAACUCUACUUAUCUUAAAUUCAAUUGAUGGUUUGCGAGAUUGAGCUAUUUCUAAUACUACUGUUAUAAUUUAGCAUUCUAAUUACAGACAUAUUUAAAAAAAAAAACCCCGCAUUUGAUGGUUGUGGAAUUAAUUUCUUAAUUGACCGAUGGGGGAAAUAAUCAGAUUUAAUCUGAUCAUUUUUAGGGUGAAAUUGUAAUUUUCGUUUUGGGGGGUAAAAUGAUCAUUUGCUUAAGUUUCCGUUAGUUUUCUUAACGGAUUCCAAACGGAAGUGGAAAAAUGAAAUAAAAUGUAACUUUAGGUGGAUUUCAGCCAAAAAAAAAAAUUGUGUAUUUUUGAAAAAGUUAGAAAAAACGGGUGGAUGGUGGAUAUUUUCCCUUUUUUUAACUUAUUCCUUACUUUAAUAACUUAAGAGAUCUUUUGUUACUGUAAUCAAUAUAUACCAUUUACCCCUAUUGUUUUUAUAAUAACCAAUAACCCUCCUUACAACAUAAUUUUAUAAUAUUACUCAUAUUUUUAAAUACACUUUCAUUCAAAUUUAUUAUAAAUUAAAUAAAUCAUAUGGAUGGAAAUUAAAAUGAAAAAAUUAAGAAUUAAAAAUAAGAAAUAUAUGUUUUGAUGUGAACAAAAAAUUAAUAAUAAUUUUUUUUUACUUUUUUAUUUUAUAAACAUUUUAUUAUAAUAGAUAUAUAAGAAAAUUUUUAUUAAAUGAUAAAAAUUAUUAUAGGAAAACUUAAAUGAUAAAUAAAAUAUUAUUAUGAAAUAAAUAAUAAAAUAUUUUUCUUAUAAUAAAUAAAAAAUGUUUUUCUUAAAUCUUUUACGUUUAAUUUUAAAAUAUUAUAAAACAUUUAUUAUAAGAUAAUGUUUAUAAAAUAAAAAAAUACAAAAAAUAUUUUAUUAUUAAUUUUUUAUUCAUGUCAAAAUAUAUUUCUUAUUUUUAAUACUUAAUUUUAAUUUUAAUUGCUAUUGAUAUAAUUUAUAUAAUUUAUAAUAAAAAUAUAUUUAAAAAUAAAAAUAAUAUUAUAAAAUUAUACUGUCAGAGAUAUUAUUAAUUAUAUAAAAAUAAUAAAAAUAGAAAUUGACAAUCUCCCUAUAUUCAUGAAAAUGUUAAUGCAACUAGCUAGCUAGUUUCCUUUUGUUUUUGUUCAUGGAAUUGGGACAAAUGAGAUCGAGGUACAAGGGGCACAUGAUCACGUGCCUUUGUUGUUCAUUUACAAAACUUGACAAAGACAUAAUAUUAAUUAGCUUGGAAUUGCAUAGCAAUUAAUCAAUAGCAAGCUGACAUGGUCGAAUGACUACUUAAUCUCAAAUGUCUCACUUUUUUUGUAUGCAAGAAUGGGAGUGUCCCCCCUAAUUUGAGUUGAAAACUGGUAGCAAUUGAUAUCGAACGCAAGUAUGCAACUUCUUGAGAUAUGCGCCAAUUUAAUCAUAAUUAGCCAUUAACCGAUAGCCUAAAAUAAUUUCAUGAGUUGCAUUGAUCAGCACCAGAUUAAUUAUACGUAGGCAUUGGGGAGCCAUAAUUUGAACGAAGAUAACCCAAAAUGAUACGAAGGCCUCUUGAUGACAAUUCUGCGUAUGAUAAAUCGUGCUGUACAGGUCCAUCACUCAUUGCCUAGUCGUUGACAUAUUCUUGGUUCAGUUAGGACAAUAAAUGUAUUGAUAAAAAUCAUUAUCUAUAAUUUAGAAAUAUUCAUAUAAUAUCAUCAAGAGUUAAUAAUAAAAUAUGUGAAAGCGUACCUAAGCUCAUAAUAUUUAAUUGUUUUCUAGAGUCGUGUAGUUAGCCUACUAGAUCAACACAUUCUCCUAGAGAACCCUUUAAGUUUCUUUAUGCCCUCUCUCCGAUGAUGGGAUGUCAGAAAGAAUAAAAUUAUACAUGUGACCUGAGAACCAUAACCACUUAUGUAGACAACUUUUCCUAUUGUUUUUAAAUAUUCAUAAUUCAGUCCAUCAUAGAAAUAGUAAUUGUCCUUAAGUUUCUACACAUUAAGGGCUCACAUCCUAUUAAAUACAUUGAAUCUCAUAUUAUUGUAAAACUUAAUAGAUCACUUUUAAUUGAGCUUAACCUUAUAUAACAGUUCCUUAACACAUAAUUAUUCGCUUAUUAGCCUAAUGUUGGAUAAAAGAUCCAACACUGCUAAAUUAAAUAUCCAACAAUCUCCCACUUGGGCUAUAUGUGUAACCUUAUAAUUAUACUUUGCAAAAAAUAACCGUAUGAGCUCAACCUUAAUGUCAUUACCGAAUUGUAUCUACAACCAAUCUGGUCUAUAAAAAAUCAUACCAACAUAGGAUCAAAGUAGCCUUUAUUACAACUGUUGUAACUUGAUCCAUCAAUGGUCACUAUAUAAAUACAAUUGAAUGACAUGAAUCUUGAUGUGGAUGUGUAGCAUGAAAAUUUCAUGUAAUGUGAUCUUAAUGUGCCUAUUUUUAACUGGUCCACUUUGAACCUUAGUGAGAUCAAACUAUACUAAAAUCAGAGUGUAAACCAUAACUUCUUUUCUGUAGAAAAUAACCCAAAAUAUUCAUAAACUGAAAUAAUUGAAAAAUGUUUAUAUUAUAAAAGCAUCUAAAAUCAUAGAUUCCCACUAAAACUAAAUAUCAUUUAAUGACAAGACACCCAUACGAGCAGUUGCUCAUGAAAUCACGGAGUUGGUACUGAUGUGCUGUAUAGAUAAUUUUCCACUCCGAACUCUUUCUUUAACAUCUAGGAAUUUGAUGUCUAUAUAUUUUGACUUCGUCAAGCUCCUGUUAUUAUUAAAAUACUGCAUUGCUGACUUAUUGUCACAAAAUAAUUUGAGUGGUCUACAAACACCAUCUACUGUACACAGCCCUGUGACAAUUCCUAUAGUUAUAUUGAUAAUUGUAUGAAAUGAGAGUUAUCAUGACACUUUUAGACUUAAAUCAUGAUUACUUAGAGACUAAAUGACAUGUUUUUAUUGCAUUUUAGUAAUGUUUGGUAUGAACAUCCAUUUUAGUUUACUUUUAAUAAGUUUUAUUUGAUUUAGAAUGAAUUGUGUGCUUAGGCGAUAUGCAUAAUUGUAGGUGACCACAAGCUCAAAUUUCAAGGAAUGAAUGCGGCUGCAAUGGGCUUGUAAAGAUAAGGAAAGAACUUUGGUAGAAAAGAAUUGAAAUAAUUCUGAAACAAUGUAGAUGCUGAAGCUAUUGCUGUAGCAAUUCUGGAGCAUUGACAAAAAAGAUUUCACGCGAGAUACUUUGAAGAUUGCGAUCUGGAGUUUCCUAAACUGGAAGAUGCGCACCUAGACUUCUGGUUGCCUUAAUUCUAAGCUAUAAAAUGAACACAAACACAAAGAAAGAAGAGGCUGUCAUUAUAUAUAUACAGAAAUCUCAUGCUUUGAUUAUACGGAAUUAUACGAAAGUCUCAUACUUUGAUUAUACGGAAUUAUACGAAAAUCUCAUGCUUUGAUUCUUUGUCAAUUCGGUUAUGCUUUAUUUAAUUAUUUUUUGAAGUAAAUUUAUAAAGUUGACUUGGAACGAAAAAUAAUGUUUUGUGAAUUGAUGGAAUAUGGAGUAGAAGUUAAGUUGUUGAAUUAAAUUUAAUUAAUUUUGUAUUGUUAAUUUAUAACAUUUUUGUUUAUUUCACAUGGGUUUUUAUUUAUGUGCGCAUAUAGAAGUGUUACUGUUCAAAAUGUAAAGUGAAGAAUUGCAUUUAGUUCGAAAUUGUUCAGAAUGAAGAAUAUUGUUUGAUCUGCAUAUUAUAUGACAUGCAUGUGCAAUAACAAGUAACUGAAAUUAAAGUUUCAACAACUGAUAUUUAAUAUUUUGAAGAUAUUGGUAGUCGUGGCAUCAAUUACUGCCGAAUUGUUUUGCCGAAUUGUUUUAUAAUCUUUUUUGUUUAUUGAUUUUCUAUUAUUCUUGCUCUGAUUUGGUGUUGUUGAUAUGUCUAUUGAUAAAUAUCUAUUACCCUUAGCUAGAAUUAGAUGGCAACUGAUGGUGUCUCCCAAGGUAAAUCCAAAGCUAUUUGGGAUCCAAAAUCACAUGAAAUUUGGGUUAAUUUGGCUGUGGAGCAAGUGAGAGCUGGUAAUGGAAGUGGAACACAUUUAAGUAAGGUUGGAAAAAUCUUAUAGAAAAUUUCACAGCGGCAACCAAUAAAAAUUAUGAUUGAAAGCAACAUAUGAACUGUUGGGAUAUUGUGAAGAAAGAGUGGCAAAUAUGGGAUGCAUUGGUGAGGGGACAAACAAGGCUAGGUUGGAAUGUGGAGAGACAAACAAUAGAAGCUACAAAUGAAUGGUGGGAGACAAAGUUACAAGUAUGCUAUUUAAAUUCAAGUUAUUUUAAGUUUAAUUCAUGUAUUAAAUUUUAUGUUGCUAAUUCUAAAAUUAUAAUAACAGAAACACCUAGAAGCUGCAAAAUUUCGGAUUAAGGGCCUAGACCAUGCUUUUAUGUUAGAUGAAUUAUUUCGUGAUGUUACAUCAAUUGGAGUAAGCUUGGGCACCAACUUCUGGUGUAACACCUCCUUUAUACAAUCAUUCUAGUUUUGAAAAUAUUAUUGAUGAUGACAUUGUUUCGGUGGAUAGUGCAAAUUCUGAAGAAGUCAACCAUGAUGAAAUAGGAUAUAGUGACCGUUUGGAAAAGAUUCCACCAAGAAAAAAGCAAUUAAAGAAAGCUAACAUGAAAAUAUCUAUUUCAUCUAAGUUGACCAAACAACUUGAUGAACUUUGUGAGGCAAUUAAGAACAAGGAUUCAUAUAUACGUACUGAUCCUCCCGAUUGUAGUGUUUAAGAGGUUCUCGACAAGUUAGCUACACUUCCAGGAUGCCAACCAAUGUCUCCUUUAUUUAAGUUAGGCAUUCGUUUGUUCACAUAAAAGGCAAAUAGAGAGACUUUCGUUGCUUUGAGUAAGCCAGAGUAUCAACUUCAGUGGUUGAAGGAUCAACAAGAUGACAUCUGAAAUUUAUAAACUAUUUUGUGCUAGUAUUCCUAUGUUAGUUCUUUGUUAAUUAAGUUUGUACUAGUGUUUUUGUGUUACUUUGGAGUAAUGUAUUGUUUCAGGAUUUUUUUAAAUUUGUGACAACUUUUAUAAACUCGUCUUUGCUAUUAUGUUAUCAUUUGAUGAUGAAUAUAUAUAUAUAUAUAUAUGGUUGGCUCUCUUGUUUUUUCUGAUUCAAAGCUAAAGUUGUAAAAUUUGUCAUUUCCUUUUUAGAUUUCAUUUUUAUGUUUUAAAGAAAAAAUGGCAAAUCAAGUUUGGUAUUUUUUUCUUUAGAUAUCAGUCAUUUUGAAAACUCUCUUGAUUAAGGCUAUUUAUCAUUUUCUAUUUUGUAUUUAUUACAUAAUUUCAUCAAGUGAUUUAGAUGAUGACACCAAUGAACAAUAUUUGGAACAACCAACUAGAAAUUGUAAGAUGUUUGAUGAAAUUAUCCUAGCUGUUGCAAGAACAACGGUAUAUUAUAACAAUAAUUUUUUAGUUAAAGAGCCAUGUAGAAAUUCUCCUCAUACAAAAUGUAAAUUUAUUACAGAGGUACUUAAUGGCAAUGAUCGACAUUGCCAUGAAAUAUUUCGGAUGGAAAAUCAUGUAUUUUGCAAAUUAUGUGAUAGAUUAAGAAGUUACAGUUUAACAACUACUAGAGGUGUGAACUUGGAAGAAGUUGUAUGUAUGUUUUGAUGAUCUUAGGGCACAAUCUUGGAAAUCGAAUGGUCCAAGAACAAUUUCAACAUGCAGGUGAGACUGUGACCCGUUAAUUUGAACAUGUUUUAAAAGCGAUGAUGAAGUUAGCUAGUGAAGAAAUUAGAGCGCCUGAUAAUUUUGACGAAACUCCACAAUACAUUCAAGGAAAUCCAAAGUAUUGGCCAUACUUUAAGGUAAUUUAUACAUUUUUUUUAAUUCAUGACUAAUAUAUUUAUAAAUUAUUUUAGUUUCUUAUAUUAAUAUAUUACAUUUUAGGAUUGUAUCGGAGCUAUUAAUGUGACUCAUAUUUUUGCCUCACUUCCGGUGGAUGAGCAAAUUCCAUAUAUUGGUAGAAAAAGUAUUCCUACUCAAAAUAUAAUGGCAGCAUGUGAUUUUGAUAUGUUAUUUACAUUUGUGUGGCCUAGAUGGGAAGGAACUGCACAUGAUACUGUAUAUUUUUUUAGGCAUUGAAAAACAAUGAUGUAAAAUUUUCUAAACCACUAAAUGGUAAGUUCUUCACUUUAUAAGUGUUAUUGUACUUUUUUUUUACUUCUUUUAAAAUAAGAAUAAUUAAUUUUGUUAUAAUUUGUAGAUAAAUGUUACUUGGUUGAUGGGGUAUCCAAAUAUAAAAGGUUUUUUAGCUCCUUGUAAAGGAGAUAUAUAUCAUCUUCUUGAAUUUUGCAGUAGUGGCCUACAAAUGAAUAGUCGAAAGACAUUCAAUUUUGCAUAUUCAUCAUUAUAUAGUGUUAUUGAACGUACCUUUGGAGUAUGGAAGGUAUGGUAGAAAAUUUUGCAACAUAUGCCUAAUUUCAAAUUUGAUAAGCAAAUAGCUGUUGUUGCCACAUCAAUGACUCUACACAACUUUAUAAGAAGAGAGGCUAUUGCAGAUUUGGAAUUCGAGUCUUAUGAGGGAAAAGGAGAUUAUAUUUCAUAUGAUGAAGAAUCAUCAACUAACAUUAAUGUUAAUGAAAAUGAAGCAAGUGAAAUAGGAGUGGUUCGUGAAAAUAUUGUUAGGGAACUUAUGCUCAGAUAAAUUUAAUCUAGUUAUUUUUGUUCUUCUUUUUUUACAAAGAAAAAUAGUACUUUAAUUUGUAAAAGUCUAACUAAAUUGAUCAAAUAAUUAUUUUGUUUGUCAUUAAUUUUUAAAUUUGAUAAGUAAUUGUUAGACUCAAAUAUUUAAGAGUAUUAAUGACUUUAUAAUGAUUAAAAAGUCUUUUUUAGAUGGUCAUCCAAAUACUUUGAAAAGAGUUUUUCAUUAAAAAAAUAUAUUUUACUAUGGUCAUCCAAACAGCAAAAAUAAGUUAUAGUUUUCAUUUAUCUUUUACUUUUAAGUAGAAGCAAAAACAAAAGCAAAAGCUAACCUAAACAGACUCUAAAACUCCCAAAGAGCAAAAAGAUAGAGGUUUCAGAAUUUUAAAGACCCAAGACCCUUACCUAAUAUUAUGAAAUUUGAAGAUUCAUCUUUUAUCUUUUUUAUCAUGUUUAUUUUGUAUCAUCAUCUCUCCUUAUCAUCAUUUAUUCUUAUUUAAGCUUGUAACUUUUUUCUUUUUUUUGGAUUCACAUUGAUUGUAUUUCUUUAUGCAAAUAUUCAUACUCUCGGUUAUCCCAUGAACAUCUGUCAUAUUGACUUGAGCAUUUAUAGGUUAACGUUGAAAAAACUUUUGAUACCCUUGACCGUUUUUCUAGUUACAUGUACUCACCAGGGUCGAAUUGUUCUUGCCAAUUUCUGGUUGUAUUCGUUGGAUCCUUAGUCACCAGCUUCUUCUUAGGUUACUAAAUCAAGGUAAGAAACCAUCUCUCUACGCAAACAAAUUCAAAUGCUAGCAUUGGAAUGUGGUAGGUAGCCCACACAUUGACGCGACCAGUUUUUGUUGUUAAUAUUUUAACGCCAUUUGUGGGGAUGGUACAAGAAGCCAUUUUACCAAAGCAACACUUAUGUGGGAUCAAGAGGAAAAAGCGAGCAUAAAGAGGAUAAAUUAAGAAUGAAUAUUAAUGAUGAUGAAACAGAGAGUGAGAGACCCUAUAGUUGAUGAAAAUGCCACUUUGCAGAAAAUCGCCCACAAGGCUAGAGAUAGGGUGAUUAAUGAAAGGGUAGAACAAAUAUAAAAACAAAUGGAUAGCAUGGCUAUGAUAUCACUAGAGCUAAAUAAAGAACAAAAAGAAGCUUAAUAAAAGGAAUCAUGUUGGGAAUGCGGAUAUACCUGAGUCAAGACAUAAAAGACAUGCACAGAAAUACUAGAAAACAUUGUACCAAUGUUAUCCAAAAUGGAUAAUCCCUUUAAAUAACCCAAACCUCACAAUAGAGAUACAAAAGGAGGAGAAUAUUGAGGAAAGAAUGUUGAGCCAACAUCUAUUAAACACAAAGUGCGAAUAUGAGCUGAUAAUGGUACAGAAUCCUGGUUGCGCUAGAGAGCUAGAAGCUGAGGUACAGAGGCUGGCAUGAAUUAUUGAAGAGGUGCAAGGUCGAGGAAGAACUUAAAGUUGUAAGAUAAUGUUAGAUUAAUAAGUCUCAAAUAUCAACAAAAAUCAUGAACACUAUAAUUCCAAGAGACUUUUGCUUACCAAACCUUUGUUAUUCUAGAAAAGUGAGCCUUGAUGUACAUAGAGCAGUUUAAAGAUGAUAAAAGUGUAAGACUUCGCAUUAUUACAGAGGUGCAGAGCAUUUUCUUUCAAAUUAAAAGGGCGAGCAUGUGAUUGGUACAGAAAUCUACAUCGAGGAAGUAUCAAAACCUGCGAACAACUAUGUAGGGAUUUAAUUGAAUAAUUUAGAGGUAUCAUAACCCUAGAAGAUGAUAUGAUGGAAUUUAUAAGUUCAAACAGGGCGAGGAGGACACCCCUAGAGAUUUUGUGAAAAACUACUAUACAACAAUUUGGAACUAGGUGAUUUCAAUCAACCUCAAGCUUUGAAGGGAUUAAAAAAAGGGGUGAAGAUACGUAAAUCAUAGUAUGACUCUUACUCAGCAGCCUACAACCAAGUAAAGAUAGAUAUAUAGAUUGCAAAAGAGAAAGCAACUAGAAUUAGAGGCAAGCAGCUUAAAGAACUAGGAAGAUGAGAAAGAAGAGCUCAAAAUAUGAAGCAUGCUGGUUAGAUAUCAUGAUAGAAUGACGACAAGUAAAAAGAAUGCCAUAAAACCAAAACUUUACUCACGAUAGAAUCCACAAACCAGGUCUGCUAUUUCACCCAACAUAAACCAGUUGAGACCCAAUCAUCAAUAGGAUGUUGUAUCAAACCUUAAACUAAUGACACUUGCUCGCCUAUGAAGUGGUGAGCAAAAUAAACAAAAUGAGUUGCUCAAGGCAAGGGUUUCAAGUCUCAAAACCUGCUAAAUAUGAGACAAAAUGCCUAAACUUACCAAUUUAGCUCAGCCACGAGUAGACAUGCAGAAAGAUAAAAGCGCGAAAAUCUUAGGCAAGUAAAGGUUUCUAGUCUUAGAUCUACUCGAGGUGAGACAAAAAGUCUAAACUUUGUAAUUCAUCUCGGCCAAGUGUAGGCGAACAGAAAGAUAAGGCACGAACUAUCUCUAAGGUAAGUUAAAGUUUCAAGUCUUAAACUCACUUAAGGAGAGACCAGGAACCAAAACCUGUUAACUAAACAUGCCAGCACUAGGCGAGAAUCCAUAGACCUCAUCAGGACUAUGCGAGUGCUUUAAAAAUGUAUAUAGGCGAAAAUCCAUAUACCUUGUUAAGACUAGGCGAGAAUUCUAAGAGCCUAUAAAACUCAUCAAGAGUAGGGAAGAAUUUGUAAACCUCAUCAAGAAUGGGUGAGAACUUCGAAAACCUUUUAAACUUCUCAGGACUAGGCGAUAAUCUGUAGACCUCGUCAAAACUAGGUAAGAUCUCAGAAAACCUAUAAAACUCAUCAAGACUAGGCAAGAAUCCGUAGACCUCAUCAAGACUAAGCGAAAAUUCUAAAAAUUUGUAAAACUCGUCAGGACUAGGUGAGAACUUUGAAAAUUUAUAAAACUCUUCAAUACUAGGUGAGAACCCGUAGACCUUGCUAUGUGUAAGCGAGAACUUAUAAACAUGCCAUGUGAAGCCGAAAACUUAUAUAACUCGCCAUGCGUAGGUAAGAACUCAUUAAACUCACUGUUAGUAGGCAAGAACUCAUUAAACUCACCACGAAAAUGUGAGAACUUAUUAAACUUUACCGUGGGUAGGUAGGAACUUGCAAAACUCGCCAAGGGUAGGCGAGAACUUAUUAAACUCUAUUACGUGUAUGCAAGCAAAUCUUAAACUUUGCUACGAAUAGGCAAGCAAAAAAAUGAAAAAUGCAAAUUAUCGCUUAGGUAAAUAGUGGCCUCAAUUCCCGAAACCUGAUCAGGGUAAGAUAAAGUGCCUAAACCUGUUAACUAAACUCAACCAUAAAUAGGCGACUAAGAAAAAAGGCAUCUUCAACUCGAUCAUUAGCAGUAGUUGCUGGUUCAACUUGAACCUGAGCUCCUUUAUCUUUUUUCACCUUUAUGUAGGAAACAAUAGCUCCAGUAAGGUCAUUCAUGUUUAACUCAAGAUGACUUUUCCCGAGAAACAUCAUAAUACAAUUAUAACAAUACUCGAGGCCAGCAUUGUAACUAUCAUUAGCCUCACUCUCUAGGGUCCAAAUACGAUCUUCUAAACCAGUAGCCAUUUGCUGAGAUUGAGAUUUAAGGGAUUUUAUCUUCUGCUCAAAUGAAGAUUUCUAGUCGCCAAGCUGAGUCCUCAGGGCCUUUAAUUCCUCCUCAAACUAGGCAAUUUCAACAUAAUUAUUGUUUUAACAAUCUCAGUCUUAGUCCUUUUAUUUUAGGUCUAGAUUUUGGUUUUCAUCUUGUUGUCAUACUUUGCAAUUUAUUCUUUAUAAUUUGUCGCAACGUAGCCCAGCUAGUGGGAGCCAAACUAAAAGGUAUUCAUUAGUUUAGCAAAGGUGUAGUCUUCCAUGUCCUCAAUAUCCUUCUUCUUGACUAUUCUAGCAGCAUAACUGGAGCUCUGACAAAAAAGGAGACAUAGAGACUACACACAAAGAGUUGGGUAAUGACAAGCAGGCUUGGUGAGUAAUAUUGGUAGAAGAGGGGAUUUUUAUAUAUAUCGUUCCCAGCUUUGUUCGUUACACUCUCAAGAUUAGAAAUUAAAGGAUUGAUGUUUGGGUGAUAAAAUAGACCGACCAGAAUCAAGUUUUCUUUGAAGCAUGAUUAUGCUCACUUCACCACUUAAAACGGCCUGGAGGAAAUUUGGAGAUCAGUAGCAGGAGAGGAGGCAGUUGAAACUGGGGACAAACAAGUAAAAAUAACUUUUCCACUUUAUUUGAAAAUCCAAGGAUUGAGUUUUAUUCACAAAACCAAUAACCCCACGAUCCUAAGGAGUAAAGGAGGUGGAAUCCUAUCAAAAAACACAUAAUCUUAGAAUUUAUAGAGGGUAAAGAGACAGCUCUAUCCAAAAAACUCACUUUACCAAGAUCCGAGAGAGAGAAUUUUAAACUCUUAUAAAACUCCCUAAAAGUAAAAGGAUAAGGGUUCCAGAAUUUUAAAGACAUGUAACCCUUAUCUAAUCUUAUGAAAUUCGAAGAUUUAUCUUUUAUCUUUUUUUUUUUUUUUGGAUCAUCAUACCUCCUUAUCAUCAUUCUUUCUUAUUUAAUGGAGAGUUUCUUCUAACCUUUAUUUUUUUUAGGUUCACUUUGAUUGUUUUUCACUAUGCAAACAUUUAUAUACUCAGUUAUCUAGUGAAUAUCCAUGAUACUGACUUGAGCGUCAAAGGGUUAACGCUAGAAAAACUUUUAAUGCCCUUGAUUGUUUUCUUUGUUGCCGACACUCGCUAGGGUUGAAUCGUGCUCCCCAAUUUCUACUUGUACUGGUUGGAUUCUUGGUCGCCAACUUUUGCUUAGUUUUUUAAAUCAAGGCAAGAAACUAUCUCUCUACAUAAACUAAUUCAAAUGCUAACAUUGGAAUCUAAUAGGUAGCCCACACACCGACAUGACUAGAUUUUGGCGUCAACAACACUUAAGCACGAAUAUAUAAUUUGUUGAUUAUAUAUAUAUAUAUAUAUAUAUAGGAAAACAAUCUCUUGCCCUAUCAAUAUACUCAUUCUAAAUGUGGUCCAAUAAUAUAAAAAUUGUACAAAUUAUAUGCAAUAUAUUCUAUUUGAAAUAUUUAUAUUUUUUCAUAAUAUAAAUAAAAUCAACAGUAGCCCAUUUGUCCCAAAAUGCACUUUUAAAAAAAAAAUUUGUACAAAAAAUUGAAAAAAAGCGCCGAUUAAAUUACUUAUGAUUUUUUUAACAAAAAGGAUUAUUUUAAAGUUUCACUUUAGAAAUGGCAAGUCUUUUUUUUUUUUUUACAAUAUUACAUCCAAUAUUUUAAAGUUUAAUAUGCGAGCUUUCUGAAUAUGAUAAGUCAUUUGUCAUUUUAUGCCAAAACGACAAGUUGUAUGGUCGUUCCACACGGAAAAAACAUUUCAUCAUCGGUACAAUCGUAAACGACAUAGUGUAAAUAGUAUGUGCUAAUACAUACUGUUUACGCUUCAUCAUUUGUAAUUUGGGAAUACACAACAUGCAAUUUGGUUCAUCGAUUUACGAACGACAUGAUAGCAUCUUGUCUCAUGUGAUGAUGACAUGUCAUUCACAUACUUGAAUUCCACAUGAUUUUAAUGAAAUUAAGAAAUCGUUUGUUCUUUUAACAACUAAAUAAAAUAAUAAUCUAUUUCAACUAUUCAUAUACUUUUUGCACAUUUGUUUUAUGUAACAUUAAAAUCAAGUUAUUUGUUUAUUUGGGUAAAACUCAGGGAAAAGUUUUAAUUUGAAAAUCAUGCUUAAGUAUGAUUAUAUAUUAUUUACGCUUCAUAGUUUGUAUUUUGGAAAGAAAAGACAUGCCAUUUGAUUGAUCGGUGUAUAGAUGAUGUGGCAACUUGUUUCACAUGACAACGACAUAUCAUCUAAAUAGUUGAAUUCCACAUUAUUUAAAUGAAGAUGACAAGUCGUUUGUCAUUUUAUAGGAAACCAUUAUGUCGUACAGACUUCAUGAAUUCAAUAAAAAAAAAAAUAACUUGUUCUUCGAGUCUUGUUUUUAAAUUAUUGAAUUCUUAAAAGUAUAUUUGUGUAAAUUCUUGACCACACAAGGAUAAACAAUCUAGUAAAGAAAUAAAAAGAUUAUUUUACUGAAAAUUAAAUAUCAAAAUUAGGGGUGGGCAUUUGGUUUUCAGAUCGAUUUGCAAUUUGUUCGGGUUCAAAAAUUCAACUCAAAUGGGUAAAAAAAAUAUUUCAGUUCAAUUCGGUUUAGUUUCAAACUCGGUUUGAUUUAGUUUGGGUUUUUAAUUCAGUUCAGUUCCGGGUUGUUGAUUUCAUAUUACAAUAGAAAUGAACAAAUAAUACAACAAAUAAUGAAAUAUUCGGGUUACUAAAAGUCUAAAGCACAAAAUUCAAAAUAUUCAACUACAAAUUACAACAAUAAAAAAAACAACACUUAAAAAAAAUUUCAAAGUCAUGAAGUUAAUCGAAGUUAAAUAAGAACAAACACAAAUUAUUGAAUAAGAUAAAACCAUCUCCAUUGCUUAAUCAACAAACAAAAAAUAAUGAAUCAAAUCAAUUUAUUUUGUGAAAAGAAAAGCAAAUAAGUGCAAGUGUGCAACAAUUAACCUCCACCAAAGAAGCAUCAAACAGUUACAUUAGACAUGUACAAUAUAAAGCAAUGACUGAAUCUAAGCAUAAAAAUACAUACAUACAUACAUACUUAUAUAACCUCUAUGAAUAACCAAUCCAUAAUUUCCAACUUGAGCUCUUGUCCGAGUAGAUUUGAAUUUAGUAAGGAAUUAAGUAAAUCCAAGCAUAAAUUCUCCAAAAGUUCUACCAGCACUUCACUAGCAACUUUGAAAACUUUUUCAUGGCUCAAUGAUACUCUUAAUGUUGAGAUCAUCAAUAACUUCCCCUUUCUUGGCUAGGAAAGGGGAAAUUAUUUUUAUUUCAUUAAUCAGGUAAAAGUUGUACAUUCACAUUCACUACCAAUGUGACUUUUUCAAGCAAAAGUAAAGCAAACACACCCUUCCAUGACGCAUUUAGAAUUGUUACUGGACUCCCACCACCAUUUGCAGCAAGAUGCCUAAUUCACACAACUUUUAUAUUGAGCAUUUUGUAAUGUUUAGAACUUGGUUGCUAUCAUGAGAUGAUGCCAAGGCUAUCGUGAGCUAAUGCCGUGGGCUGUUAUGGUGAGGCCAUCGGUGGCUGAAGCUAUGGUGGUGCGGCUUUGCGGCUGUCGUGGGCUAAUUUGAGAGAAGAGAGAUGAGGCUGUGUUGUCUUCAUGACUCAAAGGCUGUGCUGGCUAUCGUGGAAUGGUGGGGUGGCAGCCAUUUGUUUUCGAUUUAAGAGGGGAGUUAGGCUGCGGUUUGUGUUAAGGUUUAUGACGUUGUGUUGUGGCUUUGGGAAAUUGACAAUUGGGGAUUAGGUUUUGUGCCUUGAUUUUGACCGUUUGUAAAUUUGUGUUUUUUUUUUAAAUGUAAAUAUUUAAACCCGAUCGGUUUUAAAAGUUGAAUUCGUUCGACUUUAAGGGUUAACUUGAAUUGGAACGAAAACUGAAUUAAAAUUCGAAUUUUGUUCAAUCCAGGUUAGCUUAAACCAGUCUACCUUAAUUAAAAUAUUAAGAUGAUAAUAAAUUAAAUUAUUCUAUUCUGAUUUGGAUCCGAACCCAAAUAAGUAUAAGUUUAAAUUGUCAUGAAGUUUAAAUAACUAAUUAACUCAAUUGGACAAGAACAAGUAAAGACCUUUCUACAAACUGCAGCAAUGAGAACGACAUACCGUUCACCUAAGAAAUAAAAGACAAUCUAACUUACAGCGCCAAAAUUUAUCGACGACUUGGCAUCUAGAUGAAAACAGUGGACGACAAGUGUUGCUGAAAUCCAUCUGCUGAUUCAUUAAUAAUUGUAAUAAUAACAAACUAUUAGAACAAGGUAAUAAUAAUAAGAAAUUAUGGGGGUCUUACCUUCUCUUCCUCCUGAAGUAUCCCGCGCUUAUUUCGAAAAUACAUCACAUAACACAAAACCACCACAAGCUGUCUCUCGCCGGUUCGCUCUAGGCAGCUCCUUUCAAUGUCCGAGCCAAUCAUUUUAUCCGACGAGGAAGACCAAAAUGCCCUCGAAACACCGAUCCAAUGCCCGUACAAAAAAAUCCGAACAGGACCCCACCCGGUAGCCCCUACAGUUCUGAUCCUAGACGAUGACCCGACCCCGAAAAAAUCGGGUUUUGCCCCGUCGUCUUCGUCCACCCCCUCGUUCGUCGCCGAGACGCCGAUGUCCGAUGUUUGUAUUAUCAAAUGCACUUCCCGCUCUUGGCUUGAUCCUCAAAUUAGGGUUUCGAAUUCAGAUGAAAAUUUAGCUGGUUCGUUUCUUUUUAUAUAUGUUUGUUUGAAAUCGAAGUAAAAUGAAAAAGUUAAAUUAUGGUUAUGAUGUUUUAGGCAAGCAAUUGCGCACUGUUUGUUGUUUUUUUGGAGUAAUUUGGAAAUGCUAUUAUCUUUUACCACGCAAAUUGAAUGUUUAUGGUUAUUAAUUUUUUUUGCGUUGCUAUUCAGUGUACAAUUCAGCUAAACUUGAAACGCAGUUGAGUAUUUUUUGCAGUUAAUAUUGCUUGUGCUUGUUACCAAAAUAGGAAGAGUAACUCGUUCUUUGUGUUCUCAAAUGGCCUGUGUUUAGAUUGAUGGUAAUUGAUUGCCGCCGCUUAUGCUUUUUCAUUUCUUUUGUUGGCUAUAUCACAGGAAGUAGUAGAUUGGUAUGUUUAGAGUCUGACAACGAAUGUGAAAGUGGUUCUGGAAGGGUAGAUUUGGGGCAGAAUGAAUUGGUGCAUUCUGAUUCUGAUGAUGAAAAGGACUCAGAAUGGGAUUUAAGAAUUGGUGAGUUGGAAAUAUUUUGAGAACUAGUAAGAAUUUUGUUUUGUGUUUAGGUGUUUGUUUUCCUUCAUAUAAACAAAAAAUUUACAGGAAAUUUGUUUAUCAGGAAAUGCUGGAUUCAUACAAAUGUCUGGGGACAGCUCUUCACAGCCAAACUGUUCAGAAUACGAUAUGGACCUGGUAUUUCCUACUGAGGGGUUCUGAUAGUAAUACAUCAAAAUAAAACAUGCUUGGAUUAAGUGAUACCAAAAUAGUUAGGCUUGAAUUAUCGAAACUGAGUUACUUGCUAACCAUUAUCUUCCAGAUGUUCAAACCUUGAUGGUUCUUAAGGAAAUACAGAGUAUUUGGUACCACUUUAAACCCAGAAUAUUAUAGCUGUAGCGUAUCAAAACCUCCUGUAGAGGGUAUUUGAAUUUCAAGUUCAUGUAUUGAAGCGAGAAGCUGAUUCCUAUGCAUUAAUAUGCUAUAUGGCAUUACUGUUGGCAUGAUAAAUGCUAAUGUAUCCAUGCAUAAGUAUGCUGAUUUAGAGACAUUUGCUUGCUUCACCAGCUUGGAUAUAGGUGACAAUAUUAUUUAAAGUUCAUGGAGACUAGCAAAUUGAGGAAAUGACGUUACACUUACUUAUUGAUAACAUCAGUUGUCCUAUAUCUGCUUUAGUUUGAUUUCUUAAUUACUUGUAAAUAUAUUUUACAUGUUUUCAUUUCUUAUGUACAUAUCUGAAUUAUAUUUGAGUUCAGUAUCUGCUGUAGUUACUGCUAUAAUUUUGGCCAUGAUACUAUGAUUGCUUGUUUCCCAAAUUAUGAUAUUUAGGCAGUUUUUUCUCAGCAGUAACUUUUUGCUUCUACUUUAUUAUUGAAACUUGUGACUUUCAUUUUUUAACUAGAAAAAGAAAACAAAUUAUGGAGUUUUGUGGUGCACUUGUAUCUCUUCUUCUGAGUGUCUGUAGUUUGGGUAGCUUAUUUUGUUUUAUAUCUUUAGCUAACUAUUUCAAGGUUAGAGUUAUUUUUUAGUUCUUUGUGGAAAUAAAAUGGGGUUACGCUAACAAUCAAGUUUCUCCACUGUGUUUACCUAGAUACUAAUGAUUUGAUGACAUUCAAACAGCUACAAGAUUGUCCUGAAAAAGAAAAUUUUAGCAUGGAGCAGAUGGGUAAUCUGCUAAAUACAAAAAGAAGUUUACAAGUCAAUGCUGACAAUAGAAAAAGCACGGAUGAAGCAGUGGGAAAGAAGAAGAAGAUGACUAAGGAAGAAAGAAUGCUCUUUAUGGAGGAAAAGAAGAAAAAGAAGGAAGUAAGUCGCGUAUUGAGGGUCCCAGUUUCAUCUCAAUAUUUGGGUGACUGAUCAGAAUCUGUUAUACAGGAAGAGAAACUUCGGAAGGCAGCAUUGAAGGCUGAAGCUGCAGAAUCAAAAAAAUUGCAGAAAGAAAUGCAAAAGUGGGCAAAGGGGAAGUUUGCACAAGAUUCUAUUGUGACUGAAAUUGAUGCAAAAGUAGUUGAAUUGGGUUCAGUUGGAGGUUGGUUCUUUUUUAUAUCUUCUUUUCUUUUCUGGUGAUUCAUUACCGAUGCUAAUUUACUGUCAUUUACUUUUCCAAUUUGGUUAUGGGAUAAGUUCUCUGCUUUGUCCUACAGGCCAUCUACUUACAAGGUUUGCAGAAAAAAGAUUUAAAUACCGCAUAGCAUCAAAUCCAAUUGAAAGAUCAAUUCUGUGGACCAUGCCAGUUCCUGAACAUAUUUCCCAGGUAACUGUUUGGACUGAAUAUGAAGAUUUUUCUUGCUAUGAUACUCAAUAUAUCUAGGGAUUCUUAGUUUUCCCUUGUACCUCUGACAUGACAUCAUAGUCUGAUAACUAGGGUAGUUCUUAAUCUUCUGCGAAUAGUUGAAAUUAACCGAGUAAAUGACUUAUUUUCAUUGAAUAUUGAUGCUUGAUCACCCUAAUAAAUGCUGUAUUUUUGGUAGAAAAUAUGAUUAUAUGACCAGAAAUUUAUUUCCUGUGAAUUUUUAAGGCAUAUGUGACAGUGUGACUCCAAGUCUUUGGUUGAAGGCUACUCGAAAAUGCUUGUGACUCAAAUGUUGGUUAUUGUCUUCAUCUGUCUCCUGUUGUCUGUAUAACUUGGUUAAGAACUGAUUUUUUAUCACAUGCUAAUGUUCUUUAAAGUGCUAUUGAUUUUUCUUUUUAUGCCUAGUUACCCUUCAAGUUGUAAGAUAUAAGAUUCCUAUUUUGUUUUAUCUUCUUUUCCUUUUCUUGGGGGUUUAAAUUGAUAUAGAGGUCAACAUCGUUUUUAAGUUCUUCUAUGCGCCUUUAUUACACCGCUUUGCUCAUGCAAUAUCAAUAUGAGGGUUUUAGCUAUUGAUGAGAAUCCCAAUGACUGUGUUAUUUUGCCAAGUUUAGUUUGAGGUGCUGUAUUCCAAGACAAGCUUGAGGGCUUGUCAAGUUUGUUAGCAUUUUGGUAUUUUUAGAAAUAACCAUAUGAUAAGCUUUUGUGCGUCAGAAGUGAGCUGAAUUUUUCUGAUUAUUCUUAACUUAACCGACUUAACUGAUAUCUAUUACUUAAAAUUUAUAACAUGGAUUGUCUUGGGAAAGUUUAUAUGUUACCUAUUUAUAUAAUUUUUUGAAAUAGUCUGAAUUCUCAACUACGAACUUCUAACUACUGGUCUGAUAGUUAUAUUGUAAUAUAUGCCAUCCCUUCAUUUGUUCAUGCUUUUUUUUUCCUUUUCUUUCCUCCUUUUUCCUUUUUCUAAUAAAAUGAGAAACAAAUGAAAUAUUCUUGAUUGUCAAAAUUAGCAUUCGCUCAGAUGUCAAAUUUAUAUGUAUGCAUGAGAAUUUUGUUGUUCUGGUGAACCUUUAAUUUGCACGUGUCUGUGAUUAUUAACAUUUUGACUUAUGCUCAUUUUUAUUUGUCACAGAUAUCUCCCCAAGGAAUGGAAAUUCCAUACAUAUUACUCAUAUAUGAGGCAGAAGAGUUUUGUAAUCUUGUUCUCAAUGAAUCACUUCUGGAUCACGUUUCUUUAGUUCGAAGGCAUUAUCCAUCUCAUACAAUUUGCUACCUCACAAAUAGGUUAAUGGCACAUAUAAGUAAAAAGUAAGGUGUUGCUAAGUAUAGUAUCAUACUAUUUUUGCUGGGUAUUUGUCGGCAAUUGAGAUGCAAUAUUGCAAUCUAUUGAUACAUGGACUCUGGUAAUGUGGCAGAGAAAAGGAACGGUAUAAGAAUCCAGCAAAUAACAGUGGUUGGAGACGUCCACCUGUUGAGGAGGUCAAAUGACUUACUGAGAUUCCAAACAAUUACCAUAUAUUAAUGCUCUAUAUAACUGAAGAAUUUUUGUUACAGGUGCUGGCAAAAUUGACCACUCAUUUUUUCAGGGUACAUUCCAGGCAGUGUAUUGAUGAAGCUGAAGUAGCUGAACAUGUUGUUGGUUUAACAAGUAGCCUAGCCUCUUGCCAAUUCAGGUGCUGUAUUAUCUCAUAGUCAUGAGUAUAAUCUUGGUUUUGAGUGAGAUGGAAACAAUACAGACUAGUGAUCAACAUAAUCCUGAUAUCAUUUCUAUAUUCUUUUGCAGUUAAUUUUUAUUUUUAAGUUUUAUUUUCUUUCUUAGGUUAUAUAUUUUUCUGCCUCAAUGGAAAAAUAAAUUCCUUUUAGAAAAUCUUGAGUCUGAAAAAAUUCAACAAAUAUUUGAACAUACAACUAUAUGUCUCUCACUCUUUAAUAUACUGUUAUAAGUUUAUUAAUGUUAGUCUUAUUUAGCUGUCCAGCCCAUUUAAAUUACUUGGGGUUUUUACUAUUGGAGACUUUUACAGGUGUUUGUGUCUAUGAACAACUGAAGGAACACCUUAUCUUUCAUCCUUGUAUUGUAUGCUUGUGCACAUGUGUCAGUGAGUCUUGCAUUCUUUUCCAUAUUUUAGCUGGUAAAUGAUCUGAAACUGCUUCAUACUUUCAAUUGCAGAAAGAAAUUAACUCGACUAUCUGUAAACGCCAAUGGAUCCCUUAUCUCUAAGGACUCUGUAGAUAAGAAUUUAAUAAAAAAGAGCCCGUGGUGAGUAUGCUAUAAUUUCGUACUCUCUAUCAUUAACUGUAUUUUUUACUUGGAUUCAUCUGAAGAAGAAAAAUGUCAAAAUGAAUUGUUGAAAUUGUUUGAUUAGAAUUGUUGAACUCAACGUUCUGGAACAAAAUAUUUAGGAAAUUUCAUCUUGAAUUUUACUGUCAUGGAAUUUUAUCUACAAUAGUUAAAACCAACCCAGCAAUUGUUCUGUUACAAAAGGAUAUAUGAACAUGAUAGGACUUAGGGCUAAAUUAGGGCUGACUUUUAUUGAUUAAAUCAAAAGAAAACAAACAAUCAAUCAUGACCUACAAUUCGAGAGGUAGGUCAAUCUCUCCCAAAACUCCUAAUGGUUCCUAAUACCAGACAAAACUCAACAUAAACCCUAAAUGACUCCAUAAUCUCUUAUUUAUAGCUAAACCCUAAUUAAUAAUAAAGUUACUAAAUUGCCCCUGCCCCUAAAAUUACUAAACAGCCCCUGCCCCUUUAUAUUUGCGCCUAACAUAAGUUUUUAUGGGUCUAACAGAACAUUCUAUGUUUUGUGCAUUAAGCCAUUGGACAGUGGUACUUAGCUCAGUCACAGACUUGCACUGGAUAGACGUUCUACGAAAGAAAUUUGAUAAGCGUGUGGAUGGUAUUGCUUAUCAGCUUAUACAAUAACAGCCUGUUUCAGCUACAUUGAUAACUUUGACGAA